GAAGCCUGGGAGUUGUAAAACUAAUCAUAUUUUGCUCGAAGUGUACCUACUCAUAGAGACAAGGCAGAGAUCAAGUGCAUGGGCCCUGUUGGUGGAAAACACCAACAGAACCAAAAGUGUAUUUGUUCUUAUCUAACCUUAAGCAUAGUGAGCAAGACAAAGUUGAUGGAUAAUAAGAUCAUGAGUGUAGCAUUUAAAACAUUUGUUAGAUUAGAUCGCUCAACCUAAUGGAAAGAUAAUCUAUCUAUACUUAUAUUUUUUUAUAUAUCUUCCAAGAUUGCGUGUGCACAUUUUAGCUUAUAUGAUUAGGAGUGUGGGAUCAUGAAGGUAGUACUAAGAACAAAGAAUAAAGGACUAAACAUGUUGAAUUAAUUAGGUUGGUUUAUGUUUGUCUCUUUAUUCAUGUGAAUGCCAGAACCAAGGAGAAGCUUAUAAAAGUGAUAGUCGAGUACCUUAAGAUGUUACCUUAAUUGAAGAGUGAUGGUACGAUCUCACCUUGUGGAAGCUUUCCUUUCUUAGCGGUUGUGCAUCGUGUUUGUGGCACUCUUUGUCUCGUUCCAUGGAUCAUCUCUCUAUGACGAAUGAGCUAUGUAUUCCUUGUGUAAAUCGUUAAACUUCAUGUGUCUCCUUUAUCUCCAAUGUGAGUUUGUAUCUCAGGACUUCUCAGGUUGAUAUUGAAAGUUUUCCUGCAAGGGUUAGUCCGACAAAAUAUACCAAUGCCUACUCAAGCAGUUUUUAGUUCAGUAACCAAACUAGACUCCAUGUCUAAUCAGAUUAAGGAAGGCUAUUUAACCUAAGCACCACGCUUAAUUUAAAUGUCAAUGGAAGUAUGUCCAGUACUUCCAAAACAACACUUACUAGGAUAAACAUAGGUAGCAUGAUGGCUUUUAUAGAGAUCUACUCAAGUGGAGAUGAAGUAGUGUGACUAGUAUUUAACAAAUCAAGCAUGUCUCAAAGGUAGGGACAACCAACAUAGCAACUUGGCAAAGGAUGUUUUCAUGUGAAGUACUCCCCCAAGCUUGAAUUUUGCAAAAUUCAAGAUUGGAUGAUUUUAGUUCAAUGUUGCAUGAUGAUUGGUUGGGCAUACCUUGCGCUUGUCAUUCCUCGGAUCUUCUUGCUCCAAUCCUGGAAAGGUUAGUGACAAGAAUACCCGAACGAAUAUUUCUACAAUUAUCUUUAUAUGCUCAAUACAAAAGGCAAUUAAAAGUUCAUGUUACGAUCUGAUAAGUGCUUUUUUUAGGACACUAAGCUUGUCCUUGGGAAACCAUCAAAUUAUGUUGGUGAAGUGGUUUCCCCUCCAAAACCAACCUAAACGUGCUUAUAUCAAGAUCGACUCAACGAUAUCUGCAAUAUUUAUUAUAGACAUAUGCAUCGAUAACCACCCCUUUAAAGUUUUUAUAAAUAGAAAGGAAGAGGGAGUUGGAGAUCUCAAAUGUGGUAAGGUUGGAGAGACAAAUUGAUUGGGGAGAUGUUUUAUAUGAGCAAGGACUUGGUGAGGUAUUUAUGAAAUAACUUCCAUGCUCACUGUUGUUUCUCUCAUUCUCAAACUCCAAGGAUAAUUCUUCAUGAAUGCUUAAAAUUCCUCUAGGAUUGUCUCUCAAGUUUGUUUUAUCCAUCCAUUCAAUGGUGAUAGCACAUGGAUUUUUAAUGCCCUUUAGCCAUUGAUGUUGCUCUUCUCGAUCCUCCUUGUGGUCUUGCUGACUCUUAUGCAUGGGAUGUCUAGAGAGAUUCAUAGGAUCAUCGGGAGGUUCAAGAGAAAGAGCAUAAUAGAAAUUAUUAGGCUCAAGGAUGGGUUUAAAGAUAGGUUCAAUGAGUAAUCAAAAGUGCGCAUAGAAGGGGAGAAGAUGAGAUUGUCUUCUUAAUGGCUUCGUUCUCCUUCUAUUGCAUCACUUAAGAUGCCAUCCUUGAGUCUUUCUAGAUGUCCUUCAAAGGGAUUGGAUUUGAGAUGCUUUCUAAGAGAUCCCUUCUUAGGAAGGUUCAGACUGUAUGCACUCAAAGGUCUCUUAUGAAGCAGGAAGUUUAAGCUCAUCCCAAAAUGAAUUUUCAAUGGUAGAAUUUCUUCUUCUCUUAGAUUAUUUUGGAGCACUACAAGUUUGGGUUGGAUAGCCGAAUCAUGGGAUUGAAAUGUUUGGAAAUCGGCUAUUGAAACUUCCUUUCCUUGUUUGGGAGAUGAUUACUUCUCUAUCUCUAGGAUUUUUUUAUGAAGUCUAGUGCAAGAAGGAUGUCCACGAAUGAAGACAUAUCUUGCUUUACUAACAGAUAAAGAAAGAAAAACUCUACCAAAGGUUAUAUAAUUAAGACCAAUGUGAAAAUAUCGAGGAAAAACAUGGUCUUGAAGGUCUAGGUUUAAACCAGAAUUUAUAGAAAGAUUAAAAGAUUCCCUAGGUGUAGCUAAAAGUUCAUUAUCUUCUUGAUUAAAAGAUAGGACCUCGGCUAUAGAAAAGGGUUGGUUUUGACCUAUUGCAAUCAACUCCGGACACAGAUCAUAAUUAGAGGCAAAGAAAGGACUUGUUGACUCCCAUGGUCUAUGGCUGGUCUCCGAAGGUGCAAAAAAUUCAAUAAUAGGUGUGGAAUUUGAGAUAUCCACAAAGGUGGAAAAAAUAAAAAGAUAAAAGAAUAAAAGUAUAAAAGUAUAAUACAAGAUAAUAGCAAGACUUAAAGUUAUCUCAGCAAACCGUCUUUCUCUCCGGCAACGGUGCCAGAAAUGCUUGUUCAUAUUUGGUAACGCCAUCAGGAAAUGGUCCGCAAGCGCACGGAUAUCGGUGAGCACUUCACCCGGGAGGUUAUCCAGAGUAUUGUAUUUAUAUUUUUACCACUGGGAGAAAGCGUGCAUCUGACUAACCAAAUCUAUUGCUACUACCCUUUAGGCUACAAAGAAUGUGACUCGAUGUGAGCGAUGUAUAGAGAAGACUGCAACCGUAGUCUCGUUCUAACCCUGGUAAGGAUGAUCUACUGUUCUAUUGGGGAGGCUCACGGAAUCUAGACACCACAGAGGAUGUUUGACCCGUACUAUAAACCCUACCCGUCCUGCUAACGAGAUGUGGGCUGCAAAGGUAACUCGGAAAUGUCACGUUCCUCGCUACUACCACGGUCUAGCUAGUCAGGGGAUAUCUAUGAGUACCCUAGCCCAAACACCACGUUUACGCUAGCAAUGAUUACUCUAAACUCAACUGGAAGAGAUUAAAGUAAACUCAUAAACCAAAGAACAAUAAAACAAGAACUUACUAGAAUUUAGAAGUCGAAUUACUGAAGAAUCCUAGGAGCAAGCCUCCGGUUAGGGGUCUUGAUCCCGCAGGUACAACCUCGGAGUAGACACCGACAGGUCGGGCUUCCUCCGAUCUACACCUCCACUCUAUCUCUCUCAAUCUAGUAGAUCUAGUCUACUCUCACAUUGGAUGCUAAGCCCUAAGUCUAUUUAGAGGAAAGGUUAUCCUUCGAGGGCACCUCUCAACUCUAUGAUGAACUUGUCCUCCUCUAGGGGCCAGGGGGUCUGCUUAUAUAGUCCCCUCAAGUGAAUCUAGGCCAUCAGAUCAAACCGACAUUGAUUGAACAGUUAUCCUUGAUCCUUUAGGUCGGUGGAGUGUAAUCCACGAGACGGUUCCUGAUUGGACUCUGCACCAGGGCGGGCGCCCUAGGGGGUGGGUGGGCGCCCUGCCCCCAGGCCCGAUCGCCUUCCCGUUCGUUCCCGUGGCUUCUAGAGUCUUCUAGAUGAUAGAAAAUUGUGCGGCACAUUAAUAUCUCUAUAUAAACCCAAUGUGUGGGCCUUUCCACCAUAUUUCCUGACAACCGCCUACAGAAAUAGACAAACACCAAAACUCGUGGAAUUCUGACAGAUAAAACCCUAUGUCUGGGUGUUGGUUGCAUUUGGAUCCUUUUCUUUAUUUAUUUGAUGAUUAUAUUUGGUACUUAAGGGCCAUCAACAGGCCUGAGCAUCUGCGAACGCCCCAAUGGCUAUGUCCUGCUCCUCUUCUAUCUCAGGGACUGCCCCUGUACUGCGGGUAGCCCUAGGUGAAGGUGGUGGCACCUGGCCACGUCGUGUUAGAGGAGGUGGUGGAGCUCUGAGGUCAUGGUGCGCUCUCAGCAUCUGUCGGGGGUCACAGUGCGGAAACACCGUGUCAGCGUCUGUCAGCUCUCUCUGAAGGUGAGCUGGAAGAGGCUCGGGCCUAGCACGUAGAAUCUGCAAAGUGAUCCAAUGUGCGUACGGAAGCUGAUGGUGACCCCUGAAGUCCUCUCAAGUCAAACGGCCUCUGAGCAAUCAGGUGAGCUAUGAGCCAUUACUGAAUUCUAGUGAAUCCAUCUUUGUAGCCUGGCCUAGGGAGAAGUGUCUUCCUCAUGACAAAGUCAAGGAUCCUAGCUGGGCAUGUCAGAUCGCCCACUGUCCUACUGGAGCCAUCACCAAAUGGCUGACGGAAGCAAGGAGCCAUGAAGUCAACCGAUGGAAGACCACCACCGUGCGGUCGUCGAGGGGGCUCAAAGUUCCCAUAGCAUAGCUGAUGGAUCCUGGUGGCAGAAGCUAUCAAUCCCAACACCUCUCUAGCUCGUUGAGCUAUCACUCUGUAAUCUGUACCUGCUAGUGCGUAGUGAAUGUAACUGUGAUCUGGAGCAACCCACACUGUGGCAUAGAACUCACGUACCCUCUCCUCAACAUAGGUACCUGGUAGAGCAAGCAAGUCUAGGAGACCUGUCAGAUAGGUGAAGUACUGCCUGAUGUCAGCACCUACCAUGUUCCCUAGCACCUCAAGGUCCAGCACCCUGUGCUCCCUGAACUGAGUCUCAAAAUGGACAAACGCCUCAUACAUGUCAUCCUGAACAACUGUGUAGAAUCUGGCAUUAGCCCUCUGAUCCCGGGCUGCUGGAAACCAGGUGGGGAAAGGAGCAAACCUCAACUCCUGGAUCUCACGUGUAGGGCCGUAUAAUCGUUAUGUAUCUUGGCAGGAGCUUGACGUGGAGCUGGAGUACCACGUGCUGGAGUGGAGCGAGCCGACGAGGUGGACUGACCCUGCGUACCAGUCCUGGAGGCGGCCUAGGUACGAGUGCGAGUCGAACUCCAAAGGGGCUGCUCCUCCUGCUGAACCUGUGUCGAGCCCUCUGCCUAGGCCUCUGCCUUUAUCUCUGUCUCUGGCUCUGGCUCCUCCUAUGCGGACUCAGUGACGUCAAUCUGAACACGCUGACCCCCUAGCAUGAUGGUGCAAGGUGGAGUCCCAUGUCGUGCCUCAACCUGAAGUACUGCAUGCCUCUGAGCUAUCGACAGGUCUGCCCCUAUCCUCAGUGCACCAGAGCGACCACCCCUCUCUGCUUCCUCAGCUGCUGCUGCCACUGCCUUGGCGACCUUGGCCUCUCUAUCACUGGCCUUCCUUUUCUUGGUAGCCAGCUUCUUGCCUUUGCCUUUCUCUGUAGCUGAUAGGCGAUGGGGGGAUCACCACCACCGUCACCACCUGGAGAGCCACCACUGCUAGCUGUCGGACCACUGACGUUCUUGCAACGUGCCAUUGCAAGAACCUAAGCCUGAGAGACUACCGAAAGCUGAAAAUCUGACACUCUAGAGGCUUGGCCUCAAUCCGUACUCGCGGGCUUGGCCCCGAGUUCACUGACACUGCCAAACUGAGACCACGUGCUGCAAGAGAUAGAAUAGAUAGGAUAUACAUAAGCACAUAUAAUAGCUAGAGAUGAGAAAACCCUAUAGAUCGCAAGAUUUGAUGAGGAACGGGCGCGAACAGCUUACGAUCCGAUGUCGAGACGCGUUCCGGAUGAAAGAACUCGAUCGGAGUCUGCCGGAGAAUGCGAGUCAACUCCUCAAGGUGCUGCAGAGGUGGAACAUAGUAGAUCGAGGUCAAGAGCCACGUUCUAAUCCAUUGACACAUAAAAUCAAACACCUUGAGGGUGCAAGACAAGGAACUCACCCUCAAACCCUAAAACUGCGUGAGAUGAAGCCUUUGCGUAGAGGAGGAGGAGGGGAAACUUGUUGGGAGAGAUCUUGCGGGGGUAGAGGAAGAAAUCACUGAGGGAAAUCGAGAUCACGGCGGCGGGGGCUCCACGGGCGAUUUAGGGCUUAGGGCGGCGAUGGGGUUCGUGAGGAAGAGAAAUGAAACCGGCCGCGUGAAGCCUAGUGGCGCGGGAUAUAUGCGCUUGCGGCGGGGUCACCGGACGGUCUAAAGGGGCACCAGACACGUCCGGUGACCACUAGACUAAAACCCAAAGAGGGUUUCAAAUUGUGCAACCACUGGACGAUGGCCACCGGACGCUUGGACUAGCGUCCGGUGCCUUAAGGCACGCUAGAGAGAACCACCAGACGCACCUCACCGGACGAGCUCGGGACACUGUCCCAGCGUCCGGUGAGUGCUGUCCAGGAGACUCACCACACCAGACGCACUGCAGGAGCGUCCGAUGCAUCGUCUGGUGCUCCUCUGGCCUAUUUUUUAAAAGAGAACUUCGCCCGACUUUCACCCAACCAAGUUCCAACUUCAAGAAGACUCAAAUAAGCACAAAUUGGAACUGGUAUGAGUGACCUCUCUUAAACCCUCAAUUUUUCACAAAUAUUUAGCCUUAGGCAUAGUAGUUUUUAUGAAAAUAGUCAAGUGAAAACACCAAGGAGCAUCAUGUGGGCAUAAAGCUAGGGGUUUAAAUCAUGUUGAGCUUUGAAUGCUCCCCCUAUCUAUGGACGAACACAGCGGAUGCUCAAAUCAUAACCAAAAAGAAAUGGUAAACCAACAAGCAUGCAUAUGAUAUGAGGUGCAAUGCAAUAUAUACUUGAAAGUAAACUAAUGCUUGUCAAGUUUUAUCCAAGGUUAAGCUUUUUCACACACACAAGAGGGUUAUCUUAACCAUGUUAGACAAGCCCUACACACAAUUUUUUUGUAUUUUUAUUUUGGGUAUGCAUGAUAUGCAAAACAAAAGCUAUUUACAAGGUCAACACACAACUUCAUUUUCUAGUGAAGUUAGAGAGAUCAAGCACAUUAAAUUCAUUUCUCCACAUACAAAACCUAGCUUCAUCUAGGGGUUUUGUGAAGAUAUCCGCCAAUUGAUUUUCCGUUCCCACAUUCUCUAAGGAUAUAUCACCUUUAGCAACAUGAUCCCUAAGGAAGUGAUGACGGAUGUCAAUAUGUUUUGUGCGGGUGUGUUGAACUGGGUUUUGCAAGUUUUACGGCACUUUCAUUGUCACACAACAAAGGUACUUUGCCUAGUACUACUUCAUAGUCUAGCAAAGUUUGUUUCAUGUAAAGUAUUUGUGCACAACAAGCACCGGCAGCAAUGUAUUCCGCUUCGGUCGUUGACAAAGCAACACUAUUUUGUUUCUUUGACAUCCAAGAGACAAGUGAUCUACCUAGGAAGUGGCACCCUCCGGAUGUGCUCUUUCUAUCAAUGCGGCACCCAGCAUAAUCCAAAUCGAAAUAGCCUACGAGUUGGAAUCUUGCACCUUUGGGAUACCACAAGCCUAGGCAAGGUGUGUAUUUUAGAUACCUAAGAAUUUUCUUGAUGGCAAUCAAGUGAGAUUCCAUAGGCAUUGCUUGAUAUCUAGCACACAUACACACACUAAAUAUGAUAUCGGGCCUAGAUGCGGUGAGGUAGAGUAAACUUCCUAUCAUGGAGCGAUAGAGAGUUUUGUCAAUUGGGUUACCUCCCUCAUCCAAGUCGAGAUGCCCAUUUGAUGACAUGGGAGUCUUGAUUAGCUUGCAAUCCAUCAUCUUGAACCUCUUGAGAAGAUCUUGUGUGUACGUCUCUUGAGAGAUGAAAACCCCUUCCUUCAUUUGCUUGAAUUGAAAUCCUAGGAAGAAGGAUAGCUCACCAAUCAUGGACAUCUCAAACUCCUCGGACAUCAAAUCACCAAAUUCCUUGCAAAAAUCUUCAUUAGUUGAGCCAAAGAUAAUAUCAUCAACAUAAACUUGGCAACUGAAGAUUUACCCAUUCAUCUUCUUGGUGAAGAGCAUUGUGUCAACUAUCCCAAUCUUGAAGCCCUCCUCAAUGAGGAAGUCCCUAAGCCUCUCAUACCAAGCUCUAGGAGCUUGCUUGAGACCAUAGAGGGCCUUGGACAACCUGUAAAAAAUGCUUGGGGUACCUAGGGUCUUCAAAAUCGGGGGGUUGCUCAACAUAGACAAGCUCAUUAAUGUAACCAUUGAAAAAAGCACUUUUCACAUCCAUUUGAAGCAACUUGAUAUCAUGACUAGAUGCAUAUGCAAGUAGGAUACGAAUUGCUUCAAGUCUUGCCACCGGUGCAAAGGUUUCACCGAAGUCAAGACCUUCCACUUGUGAAAAGCCUUUUGCCACGAGCCUUGCCUUGUUGCGCACCACUUUGCCUUGAUAAUCUUUCUUGUUCUUGAGGACCCAUUUUGUUCCAAUCACUCUAGCAUCUUUGGGUCGCUCUUCAAGUGUCCACACUUGCAUGGCAAUGAUCCAAUCCGCAUCACGAAGAGCUUCCUCUAUAGUCUUUGGUUCAUCUUCAAGAGACACAAAAGCGUGAUGUUCAAUAAAUAAAGCAUAUCUAGAGCGUGUAGUUACACCACGUGAUGGACUCCCGAUGAUGAGAUGUUGAGAGUGAUCUUGGAGGAGGUGUGAUGAUCUUCUUGGCGCCACUUGAGGGGUUGCUUGGGGAGCAUCAACAUCUUGUACUUGUGCCACCACUUGCUCAUGGGUGACUUGAGUGUCUUCAUGAGCAUCUCCCACAUCCUUGUCUUCAUCUUGUGAUACAUGUGAGGUGGAUGGUGGCUCAAUAAUUUGUACAUCAUCAUCUUCUUUUGGCUUGAUGUCCCCCACCAGCAUGUUCUUCAUGGCAUCCCUCAAUGGUUCACCACGUACAUCAUCAAGAUUAUCACUUGCUCUUUGGGAGCCAUUAGUUUCAUCAAAUUCAACAUCAAAUGUUUCUUCAACCAUGUUUGUGGCAUGGUUAAAGCCCCUAUAUGCCUUGGACUUUGAUGAAUAGCCAACCAAGUAGCCAAUGUCACAUCUCCUUUGGAACUUUCCCAAGUGUUGGCGCUUCUUGUAGAUAUAGCAUUUGCACCCAAACACUCUAAAGAAUGAGACAUCGAGCAUCUUCCCAUUGAGCAACUCAUAUGGUGUCUUCUCUAGAAACUUGUGGGGAAAGAGCCAAUUUGAAGCAUAGCAUGCGGUGUUGAUUGCCUCGGCCCACAUCUUCUCCAAAGUGUUGUACUCAUCAAGCAUUGUUCUUGCCAAGGUGAUCAAUGUCCGGUUCUUUCUUUCUACAACCCCAUUUUGUUGUGGUGUGUAUGUUGAGGAGAAUUGAUGUUUGAUUCCAACUUCAUCACAAUACUCUUCAAUGUUAGUGUUGUCAAACUCUUUGCCAUUAUCACUUCUAAUCUUCUUGAUCUUCACAUCAAAUUGAUUUUGGGCAUUCUUGGCAAACUUCUUGAAGAUUUAUGCAACUUCGGCGUUGUCUUGCAAGAAGGAUGUCCAAGUGUACCAGGAGUAAUCAUCAACUAUGACCUAGCAAUAUUUUUUGCCUCCAAGACUAGCAUAUGUGGUUGGUCCAAAUAAAUCCAUGUGAAGUAGCUCAAGCACUCUUGAAGUAGAGAGAUAGGCCUUGGUAGGAUGGGUGUUUGCAACUUGCUUGCCGGCUUGACAUGCACUACAAAGCUUGUCCUUUUCAAAGGUCACAUCCUUCAAGCCUCUAAUCAAUUCUUUCUUCAUGAACUUCUUGAGUGUGCCCAUUCCAACAUGUGCUAACCUUCUAUGCCACAACCACCCAAGUGAGCUCUUGGUGAAUAAGCAAGUCUUGACAUCAACUUCAUCAGAUGAGAAAUCAACUACAUAUAAGUUGUUGUGUCAAAAGCCUUUGAAUACCAUUUCAUUGUCAUCCUCCUUGGUCACUAUUACUUCCUUCUUCUUGAAUAGACAUUCAAAACUAAGAUCACAAAGUUGUCCAACCGAGAGCAAGUUGAAACUUAAUGAUUGCACAUAGAGCACAUUGGUGAUGGAGUUAUUAUUUGAUAUUGCAACCUUUCCUAGACCCUUGACCUUACCUUUUGAAUUGUCACCAAAUGUGAUCUUCUCUUGGUUGUCAACAUCUUCAUCAAGUGAGGUGAACAUCCGGGGAUCUCCGGUCAUAUGUUGAGUGCAACCACUAUCAAUUACCUAAUGUGAUCCACCAGUCUUGUAGUUCACCUACACACAAGAGAUCAAACUUGAGAUUUAGGGACCCACAUUUGCUUAGGGCCCUUGACCUUCUCUACUAGUUGCUUUGGCACCCAAAUCUUCUUUGGCCUUUUCUUGUUAGGUGGCCCCAUGAAGCUAACCUUGACUUUAUCACUCUUGUCUUUCCUUACAAUGUAGUGAGCAUUGAAGGCAAAUGGUCUAGCAUGCUUGGGCAAGGGUGGUGGUAGUGGUGCCUCACGCUCAUGAGCAAAGUGUUCUUCUUGUCCACACUCAAAGCACCUCUUUGGCUUUGGCUUACUUGAAUGAUCAUGAGUGGCUAGUGAUUUGAUGAACUUUGUUUGAUGAGCCUUUAAUCCAAUCCCACUCUUGACCAUCUUCAUGACGGUGUUCAUGAAUAGCUCACUUUGAAGGUCCUUUCCUUUUGUGAACUUUGCUAACCCCUUGGUUAGGUGUUCCUUAUCUUUCUUGAGCUUGCUAUUCUCUUGAGUUAGCUUCUUGAUGAUUGGGUCAUGGUUGCUUGCUAACUCUUCUAAGAUGAAUGACUAAUCUUCUUCUUGCUUGUCAUACAUCAAACCAAGAUUGAAAUAUUGAUUCUCUUCUUUGAGCAACUUUUUUUCAUAUGCAAGCUUCUUGUCUUGACCAAGUGACUCAAUCACUAUUGUGCUGUGCUUGGUUUGCUCUUGCAACUCUUUCUUGAGGAUGGCAUUUUCUUCCUUGAGCUUGAUAGUGUCCUCAUAGCUCUCGACCACUACCACUUUCUUGCCCUUGCAACCAACACAUUUGCUUGUGCUCUCCACAAGUAAGUCAUCACAAGAUGUGGCUACAUCAAGCUUAGCAACAUGGUUAGUAGCAACAUGUGUUUCAUUGAUUGCAAGAUCAUAAGCUAUCUCAAGGUUGUCAUAGUUGGCUUUUAGAGUUACAAGCUCUUCCUUCAAAGCUCUAUGUCUAGUGAUAAGCUGAUCAUGAACACUCUCAAGUUUAUCAUGUUUUUCUUUGAGCUCUUUUAAAGAGAGUUUGAGCUCCUUGAGCUUAGUGGUCAUGAUCUCAUUUUGAUCUCUAAGAUCAUCACUAGACUCAAGCUUUGCUAGAAGUAAUUCAUUUUCAAGUUCAAGUUUUUCAUUUUCACUUUUAGUUUUUCUUAUGAACAUAGUGUAUUUGUUUAGCAAUUUUACAAGUUCAUCAUAAGAUGGUGAUUCAUAUUCACUAUCACUCUCACUACUCUCAUCCUCACUUUGUACCUUUCGGUCACCCUUAGCCAUGAGGCAUAGGUGUGUAGAGGAUGUAGAUGGUGGUGAAGAGGAUGGUGAUGAAGCAUCAAUGGUAAUGGCGGCAACCUUCUCAUCAUCACUUCAUUGCCAGAGGAGUCACCACUUGAGCUUUCAAUGUCGGUGAGCCAAUCAUCAACAAUGUAAGCCUUGCCAUUCUUAUUCUUGUGGUACUCCUUCUUCUUGCCACCUUUCUUCUUGUAUGGCUUCUUGUCAUUCUUCUCAUCAUCACUUGAAUCAUCUUGCUCCUUGCUCUUCUUGUACUUGUCCUUCUUGGGCUUUGGACAUUGAUGAGCAAUAUGACCAAGUUCACCACAAUUGUAGCAAUCCAUCUCGGAGAUGGGUUUCCUUUUGCUACUUGUGAAGAACUUCUUCUUCUUGGAGUCAAAGUUGACUCCAUUCUUGUUGUGCUUCUUCAACAGCUUGGUGGUUCUUCUCACGAAGAGGGCAAUGGAUGCAUCAUCAUCACUUGGAGUUGAUGACUCAACUUCAAUCGUCUUGGCUUUGCCCUUGUGAGAAGCCUUGAGGGCCAAGUCCUUCUUUUCCUUCUUGGGCGAUGAGGAUCCAUCUUGGGGGUUCAUGUGCAUGUACAUCUCAUGAGCGUUGAUCUUCCCAAAUAUAGACGUUGGUGUGGCGGUGGAGAGAUCGCCUUGAUGAAGCACAGUUACUAUGUGCCCAUAUUUCUCAAUGGGGAGAACACAUAGUAUCUUUCUUGCCACAUCCGCCGCACUCAUUUGAUUGAGCCCAAGUCCAUUUAGCUCCUCUACAAUGACAUUCAAGCGAGAAUACAUUUCAUUAGCAUUUUCUUUUGGAAGCAUUUCAAAUGUAUUAAGCUUGUUCAUCACAAGAUGAAAGCAUUCCUCACACUCACUCUUAGAUCCCUCAUGGAGUGCACAAAGUUCCUUCCAUAGAGUCUGGGCGGUUUUGUGGUUCCAAACACAGUUGAACACCUCUUUGCAAAGAUCUCUAAAGAUGUGGUUUUUGGCCUUUGCAUUCCACUUCUCGUUUUCUUGCUCUUGUGGAGUAAGAGCGACGUCUUUUGCCGGAGGGAUAAACCCUUUGGUCAUGGCUUUUAGGCACUUAGUGUCACAUGCCUCAAGGUAUGACUCCAUCCGUAUUUUCCAAUACGGGAAGUCAUCCCCAUCGAACAUGGGUGGCGGUCCAUCCCCGUUAGACAUCUUUCUCUAGGCAGUGAAGCCUAAAUAAUGAGCACUAGGCUCUGAUACCAAUUGAAAGGAUCAAGAUGCCCAAGAGGGGGGUGAAUUGGGCUUCUCUAAAAAUUUAAGCAACCUAUAAGCUCCAAUUCAACCCCUUAUGCCUAGUGUGACUAGAGAGCUACCGGAUAAAAGUUUUGCAACCUAGUUCCAAUCCUAUUCUAGCAUGGCAAUUCUAGGAAUGUAAAAACUCAAAGUAGUUGCACAAAGUAAAUGCUAGAAAGUAAAGGAGUAGUCGAACAAAGUGCUCGGUGAUGUUUUGCUGAGGUAUCAGAGAGUCGCCACUCUCCACUAGUCCUCGCUGGAGCACCCGCGCAAGGGUCUUGCUCCCCCUUGGUCCGCGCAAGGACCAAGUGCUCUCUACGGGCUGAUUCUUCAACACUCCGCCAUGGUGAAUCGCCCAAAACUGCUCAAAAGCUUGACAUGAGCCACCCACAAGAACUCCGGGCGGUCUUCGUGCCUCCAAUCACCACCGAACCAUCUAGGUGAUGGCGAUCACCAAGAGUAACAAGCAAAGAACUCUCACUUGACCCAAUCAAGGCACUAGAGAGUGGUGGAUGCACACUUGACUCUUGGAAUUCCACUAGAGAAGGAGUCUCACAAGAAAUCUCUCAAAUCACAAUCCUCUCUAGGCUCUUGCUUCUCUCUUGCUCCACAAAGUGUUUCUCAACUGUUCAAAUGGGCAAGAGAGCUCCCAUGGAUGAGGUGGAGGAGUAUAAAUACACCCCAUCAAGUCCAAGGGCCGGCCAACCAUUUUACACUGAAAACGGGGUCACCGGAUGCUAGUUAUGUUGCACCGGAUGCACUACACCGAGCGUCCGGUGACCUCAUAACCGCUAACUGUACUCUGUCUGAUAGAGCACCGGACGCUACUUCCCAGCGUCCGGUGACACCGUCCGGUGCGAGGGUAAACUUUACACCCUCCCUGAGUUUAGGACCGGACGCUACCCGGUGAGUCUGGUGCUAGCGUCCGGUGCCUAGGUCACCCUUUGGACCUCCCUAGGUUUAGGACCGGACACUACUCAGUGUGUCCGGUGCCUAACCCUAGGUACUUAGGCACUCUGACUGCAAACGACCUCACCGGAUGCACUCACAGAGCGUCCGGUGCAGCGUCCGUUGCCGACUUAGGCACCCAAACUUUGUCGAAACGCGACCGUUCCAAAACGAAGUUUGUUCCUCUCGAUCUAAGGACUAUCUCUAAGCUGCCUAGUGAUAGAUUUACCAAGUGUGCACCACACCUAAACCUAAAGCCUUGCCUAAGUCAAGCUACUAGAUCAAAGCCCCUCUCAAUAGUACGGUCAAAGGAAAACAAAGUCCUAAACUACUCUAAGUUCCCUUCUUCACCAUAUGGCACUUGGACCUAGUCUAGUCUUGACGAUGUCUAUCCAUCCUUUGAAAACCGAAACGAUUUCCACUAUUAAGUAGGCAUGUACGUCCUUGUUCAUCGAGUACCUAUUACCAUGACAUAACACUAAUGACUUUGCCUCUUCAAAACACACGUUAGUCACAGUAACCAACAUUGUCAUUAAUCACCGAAACUCAUUAGGGGCCUAGAUGCUCUUUCAUAGGUGGUGCACAUUACGUAGAUGUGGUGUCUAGAUAUAUUGUGUACCUAUGGAGGCAUCCUGAUGUGCCGGGUCAUGUGGUAGUCCGCGCACGUAACAGCUGUGUUGGUUCCUCUGUAGUCCACCCCCCGUACGUAGGACUAGCCGAGCACGGUCACGAAGGAGGUGACCCUUGUGUCUUAAUAUCCUCAUUAGUUGAUGCUCCUUAUGAUGUCUUUUGAGUUUAUUAUGCUAUAGAUGAAGAUGUGUAGCAUGGCGUAGGCUGUAGACUUUAUAUUAGUAAUUACAUAGGUUUUCUUUUGCUCUGACCGAAUCUUGAGAUUGUUUUACUACAUUAGUGAGUCUCUAUUUUCUAUCUCUGGAAUACCAUUUACCUCAUUUACUCAAUUAUCACUUAUCAUUUAUCAUACUAUUGACUAGUUAUCACUAAAGCAUUAGUACAAUUGGCUAUGAUAGAUUUACAUAAUUAUAAUUUCUUUAAUCCUUAUAAGAUUACCUAAGCCUAAUGAAUGGAAUGCUGUUUUAUCCUUUUGGCAUAAAAUAAAUCAAGGAUACUUGGAAUACUUCCUGGGUGAAAUGCUACAACAGGAGAAUUAUCUACGCGCUUGUGAAUAUAUUAUACUUAGAGUCAUUGCGUGUAGAUUAUUUUUAUCCUUGGUUUUUGGCAUCAUGUAGGGAUGACAACUUAAUAUGAAGUGAUUUUAAAAAUACCAACAUUGACCAAUGCCUGAGUGAGGGGGUAGGGGGUAGUACAUAGAUCAGAGCGUUGUUGAUAUUAGUUACGCACACGAAAGAAUCAAAGAGAAAUAAUCUACAAGUGCACGGAUAUCGGUGAGCACUUCAUCCAGGAGAUAAGUCUAGACUAUCGUAUUUAUUUUUUUACCACUUGGAGAAAGCGUGCAAAAGACUGACCUUUUAUCCUACCUACUACCCAUGGGUUGCAAGACAAGAUAGCGAGAAUUAAGCGAUAUAGAGAGAACUCUUUCUUCAGUCUUCUUCUAACCUAUGGUAAGUGUGUAGAUAUCAUUCUAAGGGGAGUAACUAGAGAAAACAGACACCUCAGAGCGUUCUUAAGCCUAGUACCAUAUACCCUACCUUACCUCCUAACGGGAUGUGGAUUACUGAGACCCAAGAUGAUUGUCACUUUGCCCAAAAGGCUACCACAAAUCCGGCCAAGCAGGGAGUAUCUACGAGUAUUCCUAGCCCAAGCACCGUGCUUACGCUACAAAUAAUUACUCUAUUCCCUACGCGAAGUGAAUAAAGUAAACUCCUAAACCAAAGAACAAUAACUUACUAGUAUUAGAAGUUGAAUUACUGAACGAUUCUAGAACUAAGCCUUGGGUUAGAAGACUUGACCCUGAAGAUAUGAAGAAGAAGGAAUCGACAGGCCGGGAUUCCUCAACUCCUAUCUUCACACUAUACUCUCUCAACCUCUCUUGUUGCUAUUACCCUAAAGAGACAGAUCCAUUCGAGGGACCCCUCUCUGUCUAACUCUUUCUAGAAAAUAUAAAUUAGGGUUUUAGAGUUACAUCUCAGGGGGUAGGGUCUUUAUUUAUAGUCCCCUAGGAAUCAGCACAACCCUUGGAUCAAACCGACUUAAACGUGCGCUAAAGAUAAAUCCUUAAAGUCGAUGGAGGCAGGAUCUGUGAGGUUCGCUUUGAUUGGUGGAGAGCCUCGGGCAGCCGCCCCUAUCAGGGUGGGGCGCUCGCCCCUGCCCAAUGAUAGAUGGGUCCCACCUUUUAGGUGGUGGCUCCUAGAGUCUUCAUGAGUUGACGUUCCGGUCUUCUCUCUAUGUAAAUCUGACAUGUGGACCUGCUUUUGUUAUUAAUCCGGUAACCUCCUGUAGAAAUAGACAAUCACCAAAACUCAUAGAAUUCUAUUAGUGAUAACCCUAUUUCUACUGAGUGCUUGCAAAUAGGUCAUUUCUCUUGUUAAGUUGAUGGUUAAAAUUAGGAGUUAUCUACCAUCAACAAACUCCCCCACACUUAUAUUUUACUCGUCCUCUAGGAAAAAGGAUAGAUUAUUUUAAUCAUAACCUCAAACCAAGACGUUACCAGAUUUAUUCCAAGUUAUACCUAUACUGUGAGAUUCAAAGUGUCUACCUUAAAACUUUGAGAGGUUGAGGAUGGAAUAGUACAAAAUAGAGUUCUCUUUUCCAUUAGCCCUGCCUGUCACUUAGAGUUUUAUAAUAUUUUUGCAAAUAAAAACUUAGCUUACCCUUCUCCAUCAUGUGGCACACUCAAAUCACUCAUUAUAGGUGGUAUUUGUGGAACACUCCAAAGCAUAUAUCAUAUAUAUCCUACUCUAUACAGGCUUAUAUGGAGUUAAAGGUAGUUCAAGGAAAUAGCAUACUUACCUUGCAUAUCUUGCUAAGUCAAAACUCAGAUCUAUGGAGGGGAAUAGCAUACUCUUAGAUCAAGAAGUGCAUGUGUGUGGAAUAUAUACUGGCUAAUCCUAAUUCUACAUUGCUCUUUUGAAAAUGUCUUUCUUUCUGUAAAGCACUGAUGGUCUUUGCACAAGAUGGUAUGGGCUAUCUUUUAUUCUUCUUUCUUUCUAGGACACUUGAUAUGACCAUGCCAGCAACCAAUAUGUCACAAGCUCUAUGUCAAGCUACAACCACUCAAGUUUAACCUACACCGACACCAGCCCAAGUCAUUGAUGGACCGAUUACAAGUAGUCGUGCAAAUAAGCUACAACAAGAGGUCCACACGCUACUUUGUGAGAUUCAUUUUAACAUUAAUGAGAAUUAUAUACUACCUAAGUGUUGUACCUUGAUUGUACUCAGGUAUAUAGAGGAAGAGAGGGAUGAAUUGGACCCUGAAGAACGGACCAGUGCAAGUCCUAGAAGACACUAGCAAAAUGGACCAGUGGAGUCAAGAACGGACUGGUGCAAAUAAAUCUUCAUAACUUUUUACUCACAAAAACUAUGAAGGCGCAUGAGGACUUGUUGGAAAGCUUGUCGAGUCUACUUUCUAAUGAAUCUAGUGAGACCAGUUUGGAUACUCCAUAUUGCAUGCAAACAAGAAUUAGUGUAGACUGCUCAGAAGGUCAACAGUCUGUCGUGACAGAAUAUUGGUACAACUUGCGGAGUAAAAUUGUAUCAAUCUACAAUGUUUCGUGCUGGAUGGCAUAUUUUGAUGGAAAGCCCUUUGAGUCUAGUUUCACACCCAACAUCAUUUGGACUUCCCAAUAAGAAGUUAUGGUCAGUUUAUUAGAAACUACUCUGGAGGCCAACAGUCACGCAAAGCCAAUUCACGAAUCCAUUUCGAGAGGACCUUUCACAUUACCUUCCCUCAGAAAAUCUAUUUUGUUUUUAUACCUAUCUAGGAGGGUUGUUCCUACUAUAAAUAUUCCCUACCUCAAAGCUAUUAGGAACAUUUGAUCAUUUGGUAAACUACAUGAUAUUGCAGCUACGCUACUGAGUGCCUUACUCAACCUUUGUUCUUCCUUGUUCUUCUUGGACUUGUGAAGUGAAUCCUGUGGGUUCUCCUAUUUCGUGCUCUAUGGCUUUCGUUCAGCUAUGCCGUAUUGUGUGGAUUAGUUUCGGAUUGUGGUUCUACUGUCGUUUGAAGACCGAGUCAAAGUCUUCAUGGUUUUGGUGCCUCUCUCCCUGUCGCUUGGUCGCAUCCAACCUUUGUCAGGUAUAAAGCUAAUUAUCUGCUAUUCACAGCAAGUUAUCCUUGUUCUUUUGAUCUACUGUCCUGAAGAUCGGACCACCCUCGUACCGAUUCAUAUCGGUACCUAUCUACUUGUAUCAAAGCUUUCGUUGUCACGUUAGGUCUCACAAUCAUCCACAUAUUUAUCUUUAGUAUAUCUAUCAUUUGUUACUAAUUUAUCCAUCACCUGUAGUCCACUAAAAAAGCCACAAAAAAUCCUAAAGCCCUUUGAUGGUAUUGUUAUCUUGUGUUUUUGUGUUCAUCAAGUUGCUAGUCACCCUCUUUACAUAUAUUGUGUUGUGUUUAAUUUGUUAUCUGCACCCCUGUUAGUAUAAAAAAAGAGUUAAAAAAAUUAGAAAAAAAUUUAGAGAAAAGAAAAUAGAAAGAACAGAAAAAGUAGAAGAAGAGGAAACAUGUUGUAUUGGGGUUUGCUUACUCAAAAAUUUAGUUUACAUAUUCAGAUUUUGGGGAUUUAUAUACUAGCAACAUUAUAUCUUUUGAGCACAUCAAACCACUUAAUCUUCAGUACCAUAGCCUCCCUUGUUUAGCCACCUACAGCUCCACCAAAAAACUGAAACUAGGACAAUCGACUCGUAAUCCUUGCAACCUCGGAAUCACUUCUAUUGAGCUGCUACACUAGCAUAAUUCUCUAUCCUUGAGAAUAGGAAAGAGCAUCGGUAAGUAAGAGAUGAGGUUGUGUGAUUCCACAAAUUUACUCAUUCCACUGUAUUUUGCUUUAGUGCUAACAUGACAGGAUCCAACUCAAGUAUUCAUUGUGAUCAUCAUGGAGAAGAAGAACCCCCUGUUGCAAGGGCUGAGUUGCGCCAAAUGGUAGACUCACUCUUGCAGGCCAUGGAGAGGAUGCUUGAUGCACGCAUACCUGCAGAUGGGCGGAGGGCUCCUCAGCAUCAAUACGAUGAAUCUGUUGCUAAAAAUUCUGAUGCAGGACAUGACUGUUUCGGAGAUGGCUGUGGUGGUGCCAGGCAGGCUAGUCUUCAUAGCCAAGAUGGAGGAUGAGCUCAUGGGCGUGGUCAUGGCCAUCGUGUUCAUUUUGAUGAUGGAGAAUUUGAUAACUUUCAUCAAGAAGAGGGGUCUGAUGAGAAUCCCUUUGCAAAUGAUGGGCUGCACGGGCGGCGGCAUGAUCAUCGGUGGCGUGAUAAUCUUGGAGAUAGGAGCAUCAUCAUGGUCGUCGUAAUAGGGAAGACCCGGGCAGCAUUGCUCGUGUCAAGUUGAGUAUCCCAAAAUUUACUAGAAGAGAGGAUGUAGAUGCAUACCUUGAGUGGGCCGAGCAGUGUGAUCAAAUUUUCAGAGUGCAUAAUCUCUCUGAUCAAAGGCGUGUUAAUCUUGCUUCAGUGGAAUUCUCUGGUUAUGCUCUGACUUGGUGGAAUCAGAUACAAGAGAAUCAACAUGUGUUGGGCCAUGAAUAUAUCAACACAUGGGAAGAGAUGAAGCAAGUGAUGAGAAGGCGAUUUGUACCAUCAAACUAUCAGCAUGACCUUCGCAAUAGGUUGCAAAUGUUGAAGCAAGGAAAAAGAUCAGUUGAUGAGUAUUAUAAGGGAUGGAGCUGUUGUUAGUGUGGACUGGAAUUAGAGAGGAUCCAGAGUCAAAAAUGGCAAGAUUUUUGGGUGGUCUUAAUGAGGAAAUUGCUAGUUUUGUUGAGAUGUUUCCAUACCAUACUUUGUAAGACCAUGUUGAUCAAGCUAUGCGUACUGAAAGAAAAAUUCAACAAGGGACACGUGGAAAAUCUUAUGCAAGUCAUUCUAUUGCAGUCCCAUGACGCAAGCAGCAGUCCAGCACUUCUUUCAGUGGGGUCGGUCCCAAGGUGCUGUAGCUAGGCCCUCUUCAUCUAAUGCACCUUCGAAGAUGGUGGUUUCUACAACAUCAUCUCCUGCAAAUCAGCAGCGACCCGCUACAAGUGCAGCAGCCCCAACUAUUGCUUCUUCAGGUACUACUUCCUCUGCACAUAGUAGAGAAAUUGUGGGCCACAAGUGCCAUGGUUGUGGACAUAUUGCUGCACAAUGUCCUAGUAGGAGGACAAUGAUUAUGAAUGAGAAUGGUGAAUGGGAAUCUGAAAGUGAUCAUGAGGAAGAAGGUCCAAGAUAUGAUGAGGACCAUGAAAACACUGAUAUUGAGAAACAACCCGAUGAGGGUGAUAACAACUGCUUUAUUUUUGUUCGUGUGCUUAGUGUUACUGCUGCAAAGGAAGAGAAAGGGCUGCGACACAAUCUUUUCCACACUCGAGGCAUGAUCAAAGAAAAGUUGUGUAGAAUUAUUGUUGACAAUGGCAGCUGUUGGGUAUUCUUAACAUCACUAGCAAAAGUAGACAGUUUCUAAUUCUGAUAACGGUGCCAAAAAUGCCAAACCUAUCCCUCAUACCACUUCAGCCAAGUUGUCAUCCCCAGCAUGACAUGAGAGACGUGGUAUUGAAAUAUGCAAUUGCUCUUCUAAAUAAAUAAUGAAUGGGAUCUGCAAGCGCACAGAUUAAUACCGAUGUAGCAUUUUAACCGGGAAGUAUUCUAGGUAUCGUUAUUUAUAUUUUUACCACUGGGAAGAGAUUAGUAACCAUCAAUUUUGAUUAUAGAAUAGAAUAUGAGAUUGAGUAUGUAUCAUUGCAUGUAUAAUUGAGAACAUUUAUCUAACUCUUUCAUACAGGGAUAAGUGUCACAUAAAAGAUAUAUGAAGUAAUGAAUAGUGACAAAGAUAAUUAAUCUGAUCAGCAUAACUUAGCCACAUAUAAAUAUGAUAAGCACCUCAAUUAGAUAUUCUAGAAAGUCAUUAGCAUGGUAUUAGAAUGAACUACAAGAAUAUUUCCUAAGUUAUUCUCAACUAUAUAGUCUAGCAUUAUCAUAGUUAGUGCAAGCAUACUUAGCAAUCAUUGCAAGAUAAGACUACGCCCAUGCAUGGUGAUAUUAGCAAGGUAAAUGAGAAACAUAGUAAUCACUCCCCUGUAAUAAUGUUGCUCUGCCAGCCCAAUACACGAGAGGGGGACUAUAUAAGAAUCAAUGAAGCUGUCACUAUCACGAACUACCCCACGAUCUGGCAUAUUGGGUACAAUCGCAAAUAAAUACGGUAUAAGCACCACGCCUACACAAUAUCUAUCAUUUACCCAUGGAUCCGAUGGAUAAACGCUAUACGAUCCUAAACAUGUAUAUAGAUCCAAUCUAACUAAGCCAAGUAUAUAACUAUGAUAAACUAAGAAAAAUAUAAUCUUGUAUAUAAGCAAGUAGAACAAAGUCAUAAGCAAUAUAUUGAAGUAGAACAAAGUCAUAUUCAUAAUAUUGAAGAACAAAGAUGAUUAGAAGAACAAUUAGAGAAUUACCAAUAAUUCUCUUGACAGAUCCGAAAACCAAUCGAAGAUUGACUCCUUCUAGUUCUAAUCCUAUGUAGCUAUGCUAAUCUAGAUGUCUAAUUGAUGUGGUGGCUCUAAUCUUGAUCAGAGGCUUCUUCUCCCUUCAGGAAUAAUGAAUUAGGGUUGAGAGGCUCUCUCCUCCAGGGGCCAGGGGGUAUGGUUUUAUAGUCCCUUCAAGUGAAUAUGGGCCGUUGGAUCAAACUGACAUUGAUUGAACGGUUAUCCUUGAUCCUUUAGGUUGGUGGAGAUUGAUCCCGAAAGAGAGUCCUGGUUGGACUCAGAAGGGGGGCGGGCGCCCAGGUCAACUAGGCGGGCGCCCGGUGUCUGGCCCCGUUCGGCCUCUGCUUCCUUCCCGUGGCUUCUGGAGUCUUCUAGAUGUAAGAUAAUUGCGCGGCACAUUAAUAUCUCUAUGUAAUCCCCACGUGUGGGCCUUUCUUCCAUAUUUCCUGAUAAUCCCCUGCAGAAAUAGACAAACACCAAAACUCGUGGAAUUCUGUCCGAUAAAACCCUUAGUCUGGAUGUUGGUUUCAUUUGGAUCCUUUUCUUUGUUUAUUUGUUUAUUAAAUUUGAUACUUAAGGACCAUCAACAAACUCCCCCAAGCUUACCUCUUGCUCGUCCCUGAGCAAAGAUAGACUCAGUGAUAGAUCAGAAGUUGUUGCAAUGCCUUUAAAAAUUGACGGUACACAUGCUUUGAAAUAAGAUCUCAUCUCUAUGUUAGAGUAAACUGUCAAGACUUAAAACUUACUUACUUUACCUUUGACCGUGGGACUUGUAACCGUCUCUUUUGUCUUGAGUAGUUAAAAGAUAGAACAGUCUAGUCAAGUGCCAUGUCUCUUAUUCUUGAUCAGCUAUAGCUCUGGAGUUUUUGCAGAUUUUUAAAUAAAACUCAGAGAUUCCUUGUAUGACUCUCUCAUAUCUCUCUUUUGUGGUAUUUAUGGAUCCUUACCAAGGCAGUGAUGGUAUAUGCCUUCUCUCAAUAUAUAUGUGGUAUUUGUGGUCUAAGGCAUAGUGACAUUGCCUUCUCUCUCAUCCUACUCCAAUAAGGCUUUAAUAUCUGGAGCUCAUAGGUGGGAGAUAAAAUAUACAUACUUACAAAACAUUUAUUGUAUAGUAAAACCAUGGAUCCAAAGUAACAAGUCAAUAAGUCAAAUCAAGAUGUGCAUGUGUGGCGAAUGAAUGGUGUAUGGUGAUAAUCGUGAUAACAAUGGUGAAAGUCUAAUUCUACUUUUGCUCUUUGAGGGGAAACAUACCUUCCUUGCUCUUUGAAACUUUGUGAGGAGAAUGAGAUGCUCUUCUUCUUUUUUUCCUCUCAGGUGGGUAUCUUGUACCCCUAAUUCUUCUAUCGAACACUUGUCCAUUUUUACCUCUCGUCUCACUUCUUCUUUCGAGGUUCCGGGAACUUGCCCCUUUUUAUUUCCUCGUUUGUCUUUUUUUUAGAGCACUCAUCUCAUAAGAUAAUAUAGCAAGUGGUAGUAACAAGAUAACUUGAGCAUUUAUUUCACAGGGGAAAAAUAGAAAUAUUUUUGGCUAUUCUCUCCCGGAUUAGGAGUAGAAAAUAUUUUUGGGUGGUUCUGGAGAUGGAAAUGGGUGAAUAUAUGUGGAUGGUACUUCCGGAGUAGAAGCAGCAUGUGUGAGUGAACGUGCAAGUGAAUUUGAUUUAACCACAUGACAAACUCCAAAGGGUCUACACAGCUUGACCACACUAAAUGCUCAUAAGCAGUAAAUAGUAAAUGUGUGGCUCAAAGUCUAGCAAGCAUGUAUAUAUUGCUGUGGUAGGAAUUUAAACUCUCAUCAUACAGGAACUCGUCAUGUAACAUUUUAAAGAUUUUCAAAGAUAAAAUUCUCCAGAAUUCUAGCAUCUAUUUUAUUCUAGCUUUAAAUUAUAACAGUUAUGUCUAAACUUGAGAGAAAACUCAAAUUUUAAAAAUUAGGCAGAGCAACUAUUCAUCGUAUCCAUGCUAGAGUUUUAUUAUUAAGAUUCAGAUUAGCAUAGCUACUUUAUUUUUUUAUUAAACAUACUAAGCAAAAGACAUAUAUAUAUAAGCACAAAAUCUUUAUUUGGUUUUUCAUAGUUAUAUAGUAUAAGUAUAAAUAUAGAUAGAAAUACUUAGCGGGGUAAAUGGGGGUGCUCUCCCCCAAGCUGAAUUUUGAUGUAAUUUCUUUUGAUGUAGCUAGCAGGUAGCAGAGGUGUAUUUGAAAGUCGGCAGUAUCUUGACAGCAAUUAGAAUGUCCUCCGUCUGCUAGUCUUCUUGAUUCUUAAAUUAUGUGGAGCUCAAAUAGACAACAAAGCUUUGUGGAACUGAUUAAGUGUUAGCAUAAAUAUCUAGCCUUUAUCAUGUUGAGACUCCUCAAUAAAUGUUACUCCCUAUUUUUAUAUUUUCAUUUUAUAAAGCAGAAAAGAAAUAUUUAUUUUAUUUUUAUACCACCACAGUGAAUGUACUUAUGGGUUUCAUGCCACUCGUAUACUCACAUGGGGCUUACUAUUUUAACAUUUUUUUAUUUUCUUUUUAGGAUAGUAUGAACAUGAUUAACUAAGCAAACUAUUUGAAAUGAUUGAAAGGGAAAGGAUAACUACCAAGUGUACCUCUUGGCAAGGCGUUCGGUGUUUUUAAGUCCUCCGAACAGGACUGUCCGUUUUCUUAGUCGUCCUGGGAUUCGUUGGGUGGCAUAGUCGGUGCUUCCGGCAGCGCCUCCUCUUCAUGUAUAGUCAUCUUCUCUUUCCAUACCUGACUUGGUGCUACAGUCUCCUCAGGAUAGUUCUGUUUAAACUGUAUGUCUUCUGACCUUACCACUUCUCCUUCAUAGUCUGCCCAUCCGUCCUUGAUGAUCUGCCUUCUCUGGUUGCGGUUGCGUCGUUUUCUCACCUACUUAGAGUCUUCAACGAUAUAGUUAGGGUCAGUAAAAUAGCGGCGUACCUUGUCAGAGAGGAAGUGCAUAUGGACUUAUCCAGUUCCAAUGUAGAUGAUUGCUUUAACGGUGCCGAGGAACGGUCUUCCAAGGAUGAUGGGUGGAUCGUAUUCGUCUUCUCCCAUGUCAAUAACCUGAAAGUCUGUGUAGACAAAAUGAUCAUCUAUUUUGACAGGGACAUCAAUUACUGUUCCUUUAACCUCUUGAAACAUCUGAUCUGCCAGCUGGAGCUGAAUGUAUGUUGGUUUUAGGGGCAUGGUUCCGAACAAGAGCCGAUAGGUGACUGCGGCCAUUAUGUUGACGCCCGAUCCGGUGUCACAAGUCGUCUUGUAGAAGUUAUAUCCAUUUAUGGAGCAAAAGAUGCUUGGCAUUCCUGGGUCGUCCUUCUUGGUCAAAAAUGGUGACUUAAGUUGGUGAUCUUGACCUCCAUGAACUGCAGUGACAAUCUUAGCUAACUCGGUCCACACUUGCUUGUUCCUGUUCCUCCUGUUGGUCCUCUUCCUUGGUUCAUGUCAGGGUUGCCCUAGGAUUUGUGUAGUCUUGUUCUUGAAGGAAAAUGUCUCCUUCUUCCCUUUGAUGUAGAACCUGAUCUUGGCAGCACUAGCGUAGAUGACAGCUCCCGAGGUGUUCAAGAAUGGCCUCCCUAAGAUGAUGGGUGCCCUCUCAUCAUUACCGGUCUCUAUCACCACGAAGUCUGCUGGGGCAUACAAGGUUCCAACUCGGACGCAAAGAUUCUUCAAUAUUCCCUUUGGGAAACUUACUGUCUGAUCUGCAAACUGCAGACACAUGGUUGUUUCUAAUUAAGGAUAUGUAAAGAAUUUUUCAUAGAGUACCCUGGGCAUAAUGUUGAUGCUAGAGCCAAAGUCGUAGAGUGCUUCUGGGACGUCCACCAUGCCAAUGGAGAUCGGGAUGACGGGGCGUCCUGGAUCGCCUCUCUUGACCGGCAGAAGGUCAGUAGUAACUUCAGUGACGGGGUUACUCCAGUUACCUGCAUCAAACAUGUCUACAAGAUUUGCAGAUUCUAAUCCUUCCGGUUGUGAUGGUAUACCGAGGUUAGUAGCAGGAACAGCAGCAGCUAUUUGAUUUAACUGAGAUUCAAUCAUUUUAUUAAAGCUAAUUUGAUUCUUGAUGGUGUUGACGGUCCUUAAGUAUCAAUUUUAAUUAUCAAAUAAACAAGAGAAAGGACCAAUAUGCAAACAACACCUAGAAUUAGGGUUUGAUCUGACAGAAUUCCACGAGUUUUGUUGUUUAUCUAUUUCUGCAGGGGGUUAUCAGGAAAUAAGGAAGAAAGGCCCACAUGUCGGGAUUACAUAGAGAUAUCAACGCACCGCGCGAUUUUCUACCAUCUAGAAGACUCCAGAAGCCACGGGAAGAAGACGGAGGCCGAAAGGGGCCAGGCCCAGGGCGCCUGCCCUGGUGACCUGGGCGCCCGCCCCUUGCUGGAUCCAGUUCAGGACUCUCUUCACACGGGAUAUUGCACCGACCUAUUGGAUCAAGAAAACAUAGUACCACCUCGCCUACCGACCCAAAAAUGCAUAGAGGAGGAGGACUAUAUAAGGAGACCCCCUGGCCCCUAGAGAAGACAUGAAGAAAUUUUCAUAGAGACUGAGGGGUGCCCUCGAAGGAAAACCUCUUCUCUAAUUAAUAUUUCUUUUUAGGCUUAGCAACCAAUGUAAGGUAGAAAUAGAUCUUCUAGUUUCUACUAGAUUGAGAGAGAUAGAGUGGAGGUGUAGAUUGGAGGAAGCCCAGCCUAUCGGUGUCUACUCCAAGCUUGUACCUGCGGGAUCAAGUUCUCCUAACCCGAAGCUUGCUCCUAGGAUUCUUCAGUAUUUCGACUUCUAAAUUCUAGUAAGUUCUUGUUUUAUUGUUCUUAUGGUUUAUGAGUUUACUUUAAUCUCUUCGCGUAGAGUUUAGAGUAAUCAUUGCUGGCGUAAACGUGGUGUUUAGGCUAGGGUACUCAUAGAUAUUCCCUGACUAGCUGGACCGUGGUAGUAGUGAGGAACGUGACAAUUCCGAGUUACCUUUGCAGAUCACAUCUCGUUAGCAGGAAGGAUAGGGUUUAUAGGUUCGGGUUGAACAUCCUUUGUUGUGUCUAGAUUCCGUUAGCCUCCCCAUUAGAACAGUAGAUCAUCCUUACCAAGGUUAGAAGGAGACUACGGUUGCAGUCUUCUCUAUUUAUCACUCACAUCGAAAGACAUUCUUUGUGCCUAAAGGGUUAGUAGUAAUAGACCGGUUAGUCAGAUGCACUCUUUCUCCUAGUGGUAAAAAAAUAAAUACGAUACUCUGGAUAACCUCCCGGGUGAAGUGCUCACCGAUAUCCGUGCGCUUGCGGAUCAAUUCCUUAUUGCGUUCCCAAAUAUUAACAAGCGUUUCUGGCGCCGUUGCCGGGGAGAAAGACGGUUGCUGAGAUAACCUGAGUCUUACUACUAGCUUGUAUCUAUACUUUUAUCUUUUCUUAUCUUUUAUAUUCUUUAUUUAUUUUCUUUACUCUUACCUUAUGGAAAACCAAAAUUCUAAAUCGAUCCAUGAGUCUGCAAUCCCUUUAGCAACUGACCUUUUACCAUGGGAAUCAUCACAGCCUAUCCAAACAUCCCAGUAUAAGUUAAGUUCUAGGUUGAUUGCCAUGAUUCAAAACCUAUCUUUUUCGGGAAAGGAAGACUAAAACCCAUACCUUCAUAUUAGAGAUUUUGAGCAAACAUGUGAUUGUCUUCACAUUGAAGGCAUUUCUGAUAAAACUUUACGUUGGAAGCUUUUUCCUUUUUCUUUAAGGGGAGAAGCUAGACAAUGGUACAGUUAGAAGGUAAGUCAACAACAAGGUGAAUGGGGAGUUUUACGAGCUAACUUUUGUCUAGAUUUCUAUUCCCUUGACCGUAUAGCCGACCUUAGACUCGAAGUCCUAUCUUUUAAACAAAAAGAUAAUGAAACUUUGGGAAAAUCCUGGAAACGUUUUUCUGAUCUUUUAGAAUCUGGCCCAAACCUUAAUCUUGAAGACCCUGUUCUUUUAUUCCACUUUUUUCGAGGUCUUCAGAAAAAUCACAAACAAAUGCUACACACAAUGUCUAGAGGUUCUUUCUUUCGCAUCUCUACUGAUGAAGCUAGAGUGAUCCUAGAUAGAAUCCUAGAAGCUGAGAUGGAUAAUACCAUUCAUGAUGAAACCUACAAAACCAAAGUAGACACUCUACCAAACUCUUCAUCUACUUUAGCUAUCCCAAGUUCUGAGCCACAAGAGGAAGAAAUUCCACCACCAGACUUCAUGCAGGAUAUAGAAUCCGAUCUUUUUGUCGAUUUGGGAAAUAUUUCAAACUACCAUUCUAUUGUCAAACCCCAAAACGGCCAGUUUAGCAUUUAUUUGCCAAGUGAAUAUCAAUUGAGAGAGCUUAUCUCAGUAAUGAGUAGCGAAUGGUUGGAGGAAUCAGAGCUUUCCUCUGAUGUGAUCCGUUUGGACACACCCUCUAUAACUAUACGCUGUGCUUAUAAUUCUGAUCGAUUUAAUGCUCUUUAUAAUCCUGUUGUGGGGAUCAAUAUCAUGUCCGAAUCUUUUGCACUUAAACUAUUUAAAAAUAUUGUCUUAACCCCCACAACAAAGGUCAUAAAGGAAUCUUUGGGACGAUUAGUCCCCAGUCUUGGAAUUAUUAAUGUCCUACCUCUUACGGUAGAAGGCUCCAUGGUUCAUUUGAACUUCUAUAUCUUUGAUACAUGGGACUUUGACCUGUUGAUAGGACAACCUUUUAGAAGACUCCUUUAUGAAGGUCAUACUAGAAAGCUACACAUUUCUUUUGGAAAAACUUUUAAAAUCCCAAUAACAGUUUCACACUCCUUAAACAAUAUGGCCGAGUCAUAUCUUUUGCCUGACCCUAUGGAGGAGGUAAAGGCUGCAUCUCUAGAGCUUUUAGAAGAAUCAGACUUAGAAGACGAAAUUCCUUUCUUCACUGAAGAAGAAGACGAACCUUCUGAGCCUGAACCCUUAGAUGAGUUUGCAGAAACACCUAGACCCCCCAUAGAGCUUAAAACUUUACCACCCGGUCUUACCUAUGCUUUCCUAAACAAUAAUCCAGAGUUCCCUGUGAUCAUUAGCGAUAAACUCACUCAGGAUCAAACUCUGCGAUUAAUGACCAUUCUUGAGAAACAUCACUCAGUGUUCGGCUACUCACUCCAAGAUCUUACUGGAAUCAGUCCUAUGAUUUGUACCCUCGUAUUCCAACAGAUCCUUCUGUUUCACCCUCUCGAGAACCCCAACGUAUACUUAAUAACACUAUGAGAGAGGUAGUUAAAAAGGAAGUUAUAAAGUUGCUGCAUGCAGGGAUUAUAUAUCCUGUGCCGCACAGUGAGUUGGUAAGCCCAGUACAAGUUGUGCCUAAAAAGGGAGGCAUGACUGUUAUUAUGAAUGAAAAGAACGAGCUAAUUCCGCAACGCACCGUCACUGGAUGGCGGAUGUGCAUAGACUAUAGAAAACUAAACAAAGCCACGAGAAAAGAUCACUUUCCUUUACCUUUUAUAGAUGAGAUGCUAGAGCGGUUAGCAAAUCAUUCGUUCUUCUAUUUCUUAGAUGGAUAUUCAGGAUAUCACCAAAUCCUGAUCCAUCCUGAUGAUCAAAGCAAAACCACUUUUACAUGCCCAUAUGGAACUUAUGCUUACCGUAGAAUGUCUUUUGGGUUAUGUAAUGCACCAGCUUCUUUUCAAAGAUGCAUGAUGUCUAUAUUUUCUGAUAUGAUUGAAGAGAUUAUGGAAGUUUUCAUGGAUGAUUUCUCUGUUUGUGGAAAAACUUUUGAUAGUUGUCUUGAAAACUUAGACAAGGUUUUGCAAAGAUGUGAAGAAAAGCACUUAAUCCUUAAUUGGGAAAAUGUCAUUUUAUGGUUAGGGAAGGAAUAGUGCUGGGACACUUAGUGUCUGAAAGAGGUAUUGAGGUAGACAAAGCUAAAAUUGAAGUAUGAACAACUACCUCCACCUGUGAACAUAAAAGAAAUUCGAAGCUUUCUUGGCCAUGCUGGUUUUUAUCGUAGAUUCAUAAAAGAUUUUUCAUUUAUUGCUAGACCACUUACUCUUUUACUAGCCAAGGAUGCUCCUUUCGAAUUUGAUGAUGCAUGUUUAACAUCUUUCAAUUUAUUGAAGAAAGCACUCAUCUCUGCACCAAUCAUUCAACCCCCUGAUUGGUCGUUGCCUUUUGAAAUUAUGUGUGAUGCUAGUGAUUAUGCUGUGGGGGCAGUAUUAGGACAAACUAAAAAUAAAAAGCAUCAUGCAAUUGCUUAUGCCAGUAAAACUUUGACAGGAGCUCAACUUAAUUAUGCAACCACUGAAAAAGAGCUUCUGGCUGUUGUCUUUGCCAUUGAUAAAUUUAGAUCUUAUUUAGUUGGAGCUAAAAUAAUUGUUUACACUGAUCAUGCUGCACUAAAAUAUUUACUCACUAAAAAAGAUGCUAAACCUCGCCUGAUUAGAUGGAUCUUAUUACUCCAAGAAUUUGACUUAGAAAUAAAAGAUAAAAAAGGAGUAGAAAAUGCUGUUGCUGAUCACUUGUCUAGAAUGUAUUUUAAGAGUCCACAGGAAACCCCCAUCAAUGAUUCACUUCGGGAUGACAUGCUCUAUGGGAUUAACAGGUCUGACCCCUGGUAUGCAGAUAUUGUUAAUUUUAUGGUUUCAGGGUAUGUACCACCAGGAGCAAACAAGAAGAAGCUUAUUCAAGAAAGUCGUUCACAUAUACGGGAUGAGCCAUACCUCUUUCGAGUAUGCUCUGAUGGCUUACUCAGGAGAUGUGUGACCACUGAGGAAGGAUGGAAGAUCAUCGACAGAUGUCAUUCAUCACCAUAUGGAGGUCACUAUGGAGCAUUCCGUACACAUUCAAAGAUCUGGCAGUGUGGAUUCUACUGGCCUACAAUGUAUGAAGACACGAAGCAAUAUAUCAGAAGAUGUGGGCCAUGUCAAAGACACGGAAACAUAAAUACAAGGGAUGCAAUGCCACUCACCAACAACCUUCAGAUUGAGCUCUUUGAUGUCUGGGGAAUAGACUACAUGGGUCCAUUUCCUCCAUCAAAGAAGUGCGAGUACAUCUUGGUGGCGGUUGACUAUGUCUCCAAGUGGGUAGAAGCAUUACCUUGCAAGCAUGCCGACAACGUCAGUUCAAAGAGGAUGUUUGAAGAAAUUAUAUUUCCAAGAUUUUGAGUCCCCAGAGUAGUGAUAAGUGAUGGAGGAGCACACUUCAUCGACAAACGUUUCAAGCAAUAUCUAUCAAAAUAUGGAAUCCGUCACAACGUCGCUACCCCUUAUCAUCCUCAGACAAGUGGCCAAGCAGAGACUUCUAACAAACAAAUCAAGAAUAUUCUUCAGAAGACAGUAAAUGAAAUGGAAAUGGCGUGGAAAGACAAGUUACCCGAUGCACUCUGGGCAUACCGGACAGCAUACAAGACCCCGAUCGGAAUGUCUCCAUACCAAUUGGUGUACGGGAAGACUUGCCAUCUACCUGUUGAACUAGAGUUCAAAGCACACUGGGCCAUAAAGAGAUGGAAUAUGGACCUAGAUGUUGCUGGAGAUUAUAGAAGAAUGCAACUAUCAGAAUUGGAAGAAUGGCGAGAGAAAGCAUAUCACAAUUCGAAGAUAUACAAAGAAAGAGUCAAAAGGUGGCAUGACAAGAGAAUCAAGAAGAAGGAAUUCACACCCGGAGAUAAGGUAUUACUUUUUAAUUCCAGGGUGAAGCUUUUCGGGCAUGGAAAACUCCGGAGCAAAUGGGAAGGACCAUUUAAGGUAAUUAAUUCAUCAUCCCAUGGAGCUAUCACACUUCAAAAUAGCGAAGGUAUGUUAUUCAAGGUAAAUGGUCAACGUCUUAAAUUAUUUUUAGAGACCAAUGAAGAAUUUGAAGAAAUAGACGUAGUCCAUUUUUACCUUCCCAUGGAGAAUUAGAGCCCGACCUUUUUAGUCUGAUGAUUUUGGGUCAUAUAUAUAUUUUCCUAAAUAAUUUUGUAUCUAGAAACGCGCUCGAGAAAGUGGGCCCACAGAGGGGCCAGAGAGAGGGCGGGGGCCCAGAUCAGGUGGGCGGGCGCCCAGCUCCUGUUCCCCCUCGGUCCCGACUUUCUCUGUUAUGGAAAAUGCACUUAUGGUAAUUCGAAUAAUCCCUCGGAUGGAAAGUUUCGCACGCACAUCGACGGGAGCAACCCGAACAACCCAUAGAGGCACCUUUUUGACCCCUAUAUAAAUAGACCCCUGACCUCAGUUUUCAAACACCAAGCCACCAAGCCUUCUCUCCUUCAAUUAGAGCUUGAUUAGUUCCUUGCUGCUCCAAUGGCCGAGAAGUACCACGAUGAUUGGGAAGUCGUCCCCUUCAACCUCAACAUGGAGCCUGUGGAAGACCCCGAUGCCCGUGCUCUCGUCCUGGCCAACACAGAAAGACAGCUAGAAGCCAUGCCAUUACGCCAACGCAGCUCCGCCCAAUCCUACCAUGCUCAACCAAUUCUCACCGCACCUCCACAACCCCUACUCCUCAAAGGAUCAUCAUCCAAGACGAAGACCACUAUCAAGGUGCCAACCGGCACGAGGAUCCUUCCACCUAGACCCAAUGAGAGGGUCGUUGGAGUCAAGACCAACCGGAGCGGCGAGAUCAGCAGUGUACGCUGCACUACGGAGGAGGAAAGGCCUUACUUUGAAGGGAUUCGAGCAGCCAAAGUCUGUUUCAUCCCUCCAAAGGUAGCCCCGAAGUACGCUCUCAAUGCUUUUGAGACACCUCCCAAGCGUCGCAAGACUAUAGUAGACAUUGAUGAGGACGUUCACAGACUAGACAGAGUUAUCAUAGAUCUCCAGUCCUCGAUUAAUUCCCUCACUAGGCAGCUCUCUAACCACAACACCAUUAUACUAGGCCUUAGGCAGGAUCUUGCCAAUGCCAACAAGAAGUUUAGGGAAUUAGAGCGCCGCUAAGUUAUCUAGAUUAGACCUUGAGGCAAUGCAUUUUAGUCAUCUAUCUUUAAAUUCGGUUUAGGUUUACUAUUAUCAUCAGUUUGCUACUAGUCUUUUGUAAUAAAUGCCUCAAGAUUAAUAAAGAGUAUUAUUAUUAUUAUUAUUAUUAUUAUUAUUAUUAUUAUUAUUAUUAUUAUUAUUAUUAUUAUUAUUAUUAUUAUUAUUAUUAUUAUUAUUAUGUCUUGUGUGUCUCUACUUUAUUUUUGUGCAAGAAAGCAGAAAACAAGUAUGGGGGAGAUCCCUCGACAUGCCAAACACACUCCGACUACACUACUCCACGAUUCAGGUACACACUCUGCACACUUUACUUUACACAUACAACUAUCUUGAUUAUGCAGAUUACUGUUUCUGAUAUGAUAAAAUAAAAAGAUUAAAAUAUUUCUAAUCAUGAUUAAUCUCAAUCUGUGAUAUUUCCUGAAAACUUGCAAUUAUUAUAAAAUCAUUUUAAAAUCCUGUGUUACUUAAGUCAUUAUGGAAUAUGUGAUGGUAGAGUAUGAGUUUCUUAUUCUUGAUAUCAUUGUUGCUUGGAGAAUUAAUUUCAAAAUAUUCAAAACUCUAGCUACCAUCCUCAGUGUUUUAUAUGCCAGAUAAAACUGAAAAUAUUAAUUAUAAUUAUAAAAGCUAUCUACUCUAUAUUGAGUUUGUUCAAAAUGAGUUAGACCCUUGUUGAGAGAUUUAUCAUGCUCCUAAGAUCAAGACAUUUAUUCAGAAAGAUUCACUCUUCCGAAGUAUUAUUGCAUUAGAGGCAUGGGCUAUGCAAAAAAUAGAGAUAUUUCGAGGAAAUAAAAAGGAGCAUGUGCUCGACAACCUCACAGAAAAAAUGGACAAGUGUCCGACAGUAGAAUUAGGGGUACUUCGGUAUCCACUUAAAAAAAAUUGAUAGCCCAUGGUCCCUCUAAUAAGCAAUAUGCCAGCAAGAGUUGACAAAGAUUUUAAUUUCCAAAGUCUUUGAUCUAAGAGUAUGACAUUCCCCUCCUCGGAUCCCGUUUUGAUCAGGCAAUAAAUGCAAAGUGAGUAUGCUUGAGAUUUUUUUGCAAAAUAAAACAACCUCAGUGAGAUAUAUAAAAGAUAAUGAGUGAUCUGAGAGAACCUAUGAGGAUAAAAAGGUAUGCUAACUCUCUUUCAAAAAUAUACAAAAAAAAAACUCCAAGUGGCAGGAUUGAGAAGAAAGGAUCUUUACUCUUAACCAUAAACAUCCCUGACAAUGGUACACAGUGGAUUUUUAACACCCUGCAAUUAUAAAGAGAAUGUUUUAAAUGUUUACCCCAGAUAUUGUUCUUAACCAUCCUUUUCUCGAGGACGAGUAAAAGCCUAAGUAUGGGGGUAUUUGUUGACGGUCCUUAAGUAUCAAUUUUAAUUAUCAAAUAAACAAGAGAAAGGACCAAUAUGCAAACAACACCUAGAAUUAGGGUUUGAUCUGACAGAAUUCCACGAGUUUUGUUAUUUAUCUGUUUCUGCAGGGGGUUAUCAGGAAAUAAGGAAGAAAGGCCCACAUGUCGGGAUUACAUAGAGAUAUCAACGCACCGCGCGAUUUUCUACCAUCUAGAAGACUCCAGAAGCCACGGGAAGAAGACGGAGGCCGAAAGGGGCCAGGCCUAGGGCGCCCGCCCUGGUGACCUGGGCGCCCGCCCCCUGCUGGAUCCAGUUCAGGACUCUCUUCACACGGGAUAUUCCACCGACCAAUUGGAUCAAGAAAAACAUAGUACCACCUCGCCUACCGACCCAAAAAACGCAUAGAGGAGGUGGACUAUAUAAGGAGACCCCCUGGCCCCUGGAGAAGACAUGAAGAAAUUAUCAUAGAGACUGAGGGGUGCCCUCGAAGGAAAACCUCUUCUCUAAUUAAUAUUUCUUUUUAGGCUUAGCAACCAAUGUAAGGUAGAAAUAGAUCUUCUAGUUUCUACUAGAUUGAGAGAGAUAGAGUGGAGGUGUAGAUUGGAGGAAGCCCGGCCUGUCGGUGUCUACUUCAAGCUUGUACCUGCGGGAUCAAGUUCUCCUAACCCGAAGCUUGCUCCUAGGAUUUUUCAGUAUUUCGACUUCUAAAUUCUAGUAAGUUCUUGUUUUAUUGUUCUUAUGGUUUAUGAGUUUACUUUAAUCUCUUCGCGUAGAGUUUAGAGUAAUCAUUGCUGGCGUAAACGUGGUGUUUAGGCUGGGGUACUCAUAGAUAUUCCCUGACUAGCUGGACCGUGGUAGUAGUGAGGAACGUGACAAUUCCGAGUUACCUUUGCAGAUCACAUCUCGUUAGCAAGAAGGAUAGGGUUUAUAGGUGCGGGUUGAACAUCCUUUGUGGUGUCUAGAUUCCGUUAGCCUCCCCAUUAGAACAGUAGAUCAUCCUUACCAAGGUUAGAAGGAGACUACGGUUGCAGUCUUCUCUAUUUAUCACUCACAUCGAAAGACAUUCUUUGUGCCUAAAGGGUUAGUAGUAAUAGACCGGUUAGUCAGAUGCACUCUUUCUCCUAGUGGUAAAAAAAUAAAUACGAUACUCUGGAUAACCUCCCGGGUGAAGUGCUCACCGAUAUCCGUGCGCUUGCGGAUUAAUUCCUUAUCGCGUUCCCAAAUAUCAACAGAUGGCAGUAGAGAAAUUAUCCAUUCUAUUAUUUAUAUUUUCUAGCAUUUUAUCAUUAGAUGCCAAUUUCUUAGAUAGAUUAUCCAUUAGCUUUCCUUAAUUAGACACUAACUCUCUCAGAAGUGGAAAAUUAUUAUUAUUGUUGUAAGAAUUGUUACCUUGGUAAUUACCUGAGUAGUUAGGCCGCUGUUGAUUCCAACCCUGAUUUUGUUGAGGACGGUUGUAGUAGUUGUUGUUGUCAUUGUUGAUGUAAUUCACAUCCUCAAGCAUCUCAGGGCAGUGAUUGCCUAAGUGUCCAGUAUCUCCACACUCCUCACAAGUCAUGUGAGAGUCAUAGAUGUGCAUUACUUCCUUCUUAUCUCCAGCUCUAUCUUCGAGCUUCUUCAUGAGCAGGUCUAGCUUUGCAGACUGCAUGUCUACCUCCUUGAGCUGAUGCAUACCUCCUUGACCUGUGGCUUGUGAUAUGGUGAGUGAUAGGAAUGCUCCUCCAGCUGCAGCAUCCAUGGUUUCUUGGGCACUGUUGCCGAGCCCAUGAUAAAACGUCUGCAUCAAUAGCCAACUCUCCAUUCCAUGAUGGGGGCAUUCUAGGAUGUAGUCUUGGAAGCGCUCCCAUGCUUCUGGAACAGAUUCAUCAUGUUGUUGCUGAAAACUUGUAAUUUUCCCACGGAGAGCAUUGGUCUUGCCCAUGGGAAAGAACUUAGCCAGGAAGUUUGUUGAGCAGAGUGCCCACGUAGUAUUCUUCUCCUUUGUAGCAUAGAACCACUGCUUCACUCUUCCUAACAGUGAGAAUGGAAAAAGGCGAAGUAGUAUAGCAUCUCUUGGGACUCCUGAUAUGGUAAAUGUGCUGCAUAUCUCUAGGAAGUGUUGGAGAUGAGCACUAGCAUCUUCGUGUGCCUUCCCACAUAAUUGGUUGGAUUGCACCAUCACUACACCACAGCCCCAGAGUAACGUCAGACAUGUGACGCUAAAAAUAACUAUUUAGGGACGUAAUGUUGGUCGGUAUAAAAUUGCCACAAAGCAUCGGACGGUAAACGUACUGGUAGCAUCCAAAUAUUUGUCGCUAUACAUGGCGUCUCAUGAUCGGUCGGUAUAGUUCAAUAAUAGCAUCGUUUUAUCGGUCGGUAUAGAUAAAAGAAAAAAAAAACACCAUCGAGCGCGCCUAAAAUUUCGUUCUCGCGCGCGACCUGAAACCCUACUUGGCCAGAUUGUGCGUUCUAGAAAAACAAAAUACGCUUCCGCUGCCCACCAAACCCUCACUCCCAUCUCACCGUUUCAGAUUUUAGGCAGCCAGCAGCUAGCGCUCCUCCCAGGGAGCAGGCCGCCGCCGCACGUAGCCGCCGCUGCCGCACCUGGGGAGCAAGCCACUGCCGCCGCACACCUGGGGAGGUCGUCGCCGCCGCAUCUGGGGCGCAGGCAGCUCCCCACCCAGGCCGACUCCCUUCUUCCCUUGCCGGUCGCCGCCGUCGAUUCCUUCCUAGGCCGCCGCCGCCGCCGAUUCCUUCGCAGGUCGCCGCCACCAACACCCUCGCAGGUCGCCGCCGUCGCAGGUCGCCGCCGCCAAUUCCUUCGCAGGUCACCGCCGUCGACUCCCUCGCAGGUGGCCGCCACCAGGGCCCUUCGCGACAAGUUCGCUCCACCGCCGACGCAAAAACGCCGUAAGCCCGUAACCCUAGACCCUUCCACCACUUUGGCUGAUCUAUGCUCCAUCGACAGGCAGCGCCGCCGCCUGAACUCAUGUGUGUGCCGUUGCUGUUCUAGGUCCUUGCAUCACCAUUGCAGGUACUGGUAUACACUCGAUCUGCUUGGCAUCUGAGUGCUGAACCAUAAUUUCUUUGUCAAUGUCAUUUUGGCUAGCUCUUCUUUGUCACAACUUUCAGCCAUUUGGGAACACAUGGGCAACUUAGAUAGUUUGUUACCUCCAAUCGAAUCAGAUGAUUCAAAUAGUUGAUUACAACUGUAUUCUUAUGCACUAGAAAUUACACAUGUACAUGCCAAUAAAAAUACUAUUAUGCCAAACAGGUGCUUACGGUGUGUAUAUGUGCUGUGUGCAUGCUGUGACUAUUUUAUUAACUUUGUAGUGCCUUAUUUAGGAAUUAGGAUGCAGAUGUUUAUGCUUAAAUUAAUCUAAUAUCCUGUACAAUGCAAAGUGUGUGGUAAUAACACCAAUUUUUAUUUUUACAUUCUCGAGUGAUGGAUAUUCACUUUAGGAAAUAUGCAACAUGUAGGGUAAUCAGAUCUACUUGUACAUGUACUCAUCUUAUGUCAUGUGUACUCACACUACAGGUGCCUUGUUGAGUUGGUGUUGUAGCUGAAAGAAUCUCCACAGGACCGUUAACUCCAGUGGCAACGGUAUGAUCCUCUAUAUGCAGCUACAUGCCAUCUUUGUUAAUAUUGUUGAGAUCAUGAACACAACAAUCGUGUUUAAAUUAAAGCUGCUUAUGGUAUUUAUUUAUUUUAUAGUUCAUUUCUAAAGUUGCUUGAUAUUUCACAAAAAAGGAUGGAUAAAUCAUGGAUCGAUAAUGAUGCUAGGUACAAACACUAUUUUCAGAAAGUCUAAAAGUUCUAUCUUCAGUUAACAUAGGAAUUAACUUAAAAACUGCAUGUAGGCACACCAAGAUAUAUCAACAAGGGGUGAACAAUUUCAUAGCUGUUGGUAUUUAUUCAUAUAUCUGAAAAGUGAAUAAAGUUUCUAAUUAAUGAUAUUUCUUAUAGUUGAAGCUUAGCAUGGCAUCACAUUCAACCCAGUCUACUGCAAGUAUGUUUUUUUCUAAAGAUAUUUCUAUUGCUGAUAUUUCUUCACUUGAUGAUAUUCAUGUUCCAAAAGUGUAGCAUUGCAUCACAUAAUAGCUCUAGAGUGCAAACUGCUUGAUUUCUAUGGCUGCAACCUGCAAGUUUGUAGAUCGAUUGUGGAUUAUCAAUUACAUCAAUUUUUAUGUCAUAAGAACUCUAUUUUUUAUGGCUGCAACCUGCAAUUUUUAUGGCUGCAACCUACAAACUGUUUAUAUGUCGUAAUAUGCUUGGUUCGAUGUUUAUCUAAAAAAAUUGUAUGGAGAAUUCCCUGCUGAAAGAUCCUGCCUAGUGUCUUCUUCCUUCUGGCUACUAGUAUAUUUGGUCCAACAUUUAGACAAGGUGCUUCUCCUCUGUAUUUGAACCCUCUAUUUCUGUGAAUGGAACCCCCCAAGCUGUAUAUGAGCAACAGGCUACAAAAAGCUGUUCUGUAUCAUAGCAAGAGGCCACAACAAGUUGUUCUGUAUUACAAAUUGAGUAAUGGAUUUAGAUGUAUGUAGCAAUAGCGCUUUGUGGAACUUUUAGAGAACCAGUUUUAUACUUGUGCAAGUGUUUUGCUCUGUUUCUUACAUGAGAAAAUAAAUGAAUUUAAGAGUUAUGUUUUUUUUAAUUCCUUGUACUUAUGGUAUGUUGGUCUUGUAGCAGGGGAUGUCCACAAAAGUCACUGAAGCCGAUGGAACUGGGGUCAGCAUGAAGCAACCUGACCAUUUUGUGGUAGCAAGCAGAUCAAACAUUUUGUGAGGUGAAGAUGAAACAUCGAUGGAUCCAUUCUGCUUUGUAUUGGAUGCCAUAACAUUUUGUAAAGAACUGCUUGGUCAUGGAUGCUAGUUCCUUUGGAUGAUUUUAGAUUUAACUCCAUGGACAUGCUAGGGCAUGUUAGCUGUGUGGUGUGCAAGGCAUACUUGUGUUGUGAACAAGAUUAUUGUACCCAUGGAUGUUACAUGUGCCAUUUAUUUGGCUUGAAUGAAAUAUAAGCCAUGUUAUGACUUAAUUCUAUGUCUGAUAUUGAUUGUGAGCUUGUAUGUUUAUAAGGUCUAAAAGAAUGAUUAAUGGUUAAUGCAUAAUUGAUAAUAUAUAUUUGGGUCGUGAUCUAUGCGUUGGAUUAUUGGUUGGUAUAACUCCCAGUAGCCUUGCUGCAUUGGACGGUAUAACCACUAUAUGUCAUCAGCACAUUGGUCGGUACUUAUUCAACUUAUCAUCACACCAUCGGUCGCUAAAAAAAUGUCGGACGCUAUAGCCUAUACCGACGCCAGUUUCAGCGACAACAAAUAAGUGUCGCUAUAGAUCUAUAGCGACCAAUGGAGCGUCUUUACAUCCACAUAUAACGACCAAUCGUGCAUCGUUACUCUGGGGCUGUGGUGUAGUGCAUGUUGAUAAGUCCAGGAUUGAGCUCAAAGUUGCCAUUGAUCUCUGCAGCAGGUCCAGUGCGGAUGUUGUCCAUAGUGGGAGCUGAGAACUCAUGGAUCGAUUUGUUCGCCAUGUCUUCGAACUCUGAAGACAAGUUCCGGUGAUCUUCUUGAUUCGAUGAAGCUUCUUGCUGAAGUAUUGAUGAUCUCUUCUUGAGCUUGGCUCUUGUUUUUCUGAAUAAUGAUUCGGGAUUAUCAACAAAAUUUCCUGGAAGAUGUCUUCUAUUCAUACAUUCCCCUGCAUAAGAUAAAAUAGAAAAAUAUCGGGGUAAAACUGUAUGAGAGAAUAGAUAAGCUCAAUCAUAUUAGUGAUGUGAAUGAUAACUCAAAAUCCUAUAUUCAUUCCUGAUUAGUAAUCAACCUUCGCUGGCAACAGCGCCAAAAAUGCUUGUUGGGUAUUCUUAACAUCACUACCAAAAGUAGACAGUUUAUAAUUCUGAUAACGGUGCCAAAAAUGCCAAACAUAUCCCUCAUACCACUUAAGCCAAGUUGUCAUCCCCAGCAUGACAUGAGAGACACGGUAUUAAAAUAUGCAAUUGCUCUUCUAAAUAAAUAAUGAAUGGGAUCUGCAAGAGCACAGAUUAAUACCGAUGUAGCAUUUUAACCAGGAAGUAUUCUAGGUAUCGUUACUUAUAUUUUUACCACUAGGAAGGAAUUAGUAACCAUCAAUUUUGAUUAUAGAAUAGAAUAUGAGAUUGAGUAUCUAUCAUUGUAUGUAUAAUUGAGAACAUUUAUCUAACUCUUUCAUACAGGGAUAAGUGUCACAUAAAAGAUAUAUGAAGUAAUGAAUAGUGACAAAGAUAAUUAAUCUGAUCAGCAUAACUUAGCCACAUAUAAAUAUGAUAAGCAUCUUAAUUUGAUAUUCUAGAAAGUCAUUAGCAUGGUAUUAGAACGAACUACAAGAAUAUUUCCUAAGUUAUUCUCAACUAUAUAGUCUAGCAUUAUCAUAGUUAGUGCAAGCAUACUUAGCAAUCAUUGCAAGACAAGACUACGCCCAUGCAUAGUGAUAUUAGCAAGGUAAAUGAUAAACAUAGCAAUCACUCCCCUAUAAUAAUGGUGCUCUGCCAGCCCAAUACACGAGAGGGGGACUGUAUAAGAAUUAAUGAAGCUGUCACUAUCACGAACUACCCCACGAUCUGGCAUAUUGGGUACAAUCGCAGAUAAAUACGGUAUAAGCACCACGCCUACACAAUAUCUAUCAUUUACCCAUGGAUCCGAUGGAUAAACGAUAUAUGAUCCUAAACAUGUAUAUAGAUCCAAUCUAACUAAGCCAAGUAUAUAACUAUGAUAAACUAAGAACAAUAUAAUCUUGAAUAUAAGCAAGUAGAACAAAGUCAUAAGCAAUAUAUUGAAGUAGAACAAAGUCAUAUUCAUAAUAUUGAAGAACAAAGAUGAUUAGAAGAACAAUUAGAGAAUUACCAAGAAUCCUCUUGACAGAUCCGGAAAACUAUCGAAGAUUGACUCCUUCUAGUUCUAAUCCUAUGUAGCUAUGCUAAUCUAGAUGUCUAAUUGAUGUGGUGGCUCUAAUCUUGAUAAGAGGCUUCUUCUCCCUUGAGAAAUAAUGAAUUAGGGUUGAGAGGCUCUCUCCUCCGGGGGCCAGGGGGUCUGGUUUUAUAGUCCCUUCAUGUGAAUAUGGGCCGUUGGAUAAAACCGACAUUGAUUGAAUAGUUAUCCUUGAUCCUCUAGGUCGGUGGAGAUUGAUCCCGAAAGAGAGUCCUGGUUGGACUCAGAAGGGGGGCGGGCGCCCAGUGCCUGGCCCCGUUCGGCCUCCGCUUCCUUCCCGUGGCUUCUGGAGUCUUCUAGAUGUAAGAUAAUUGCGCGGCACGUUAAUAUCUCUAUGUAAUCCCGACGUGUGGGCCUUUCUUCCAUAUUUCCUGAUAACCCCCUAUAGAAAUAGACAAACACCAAAACUCGUGGAAUUCUGUCAGAUAAAACCCUAAGUCUGGAUGUUGGUUUCAUUUGGAUCCUUUUCUUUGUUUAUUUGUUUAUUAAAUUUGAUACUUAAGGACCGUCAACAGCAGCUACAAUAAUAUUGCUAGCCAAGAAUUAGUUGAUAGAAUGGAGCUAAAACAAAGGCGUCAUCCUAAUCCAUAGAAGAUGCAGUGGCUGAAUGAUUGUGGUGCGCUGCGUGUGAACCAUGUUGUGACAGUUCCUUUCUCUAUUGGGAGGUAUAAUGAUCAUGUGGAGUGUGAUGUGGUGCCUAUGCAAGCAUGCCAACUGCUGCUAGGAAGACCCUGGUUAUAUGAUCAUGAUGUUCAGAUCUUUGAAAGAACCAACAAGCUGGCUUUCAUGUACAAAGGAGAGCAAAUUUCUUUGCUCCCUUUGACACUAGAGGAGAUUUUGAAGGAUGAACUAAAAAGAAAACAACGAGAGAGCGAGAACCACUUGCGAGUGACCCAUAAAAAUAGUGAGGGAGUGUUUCCAAUGCCAAAUAAAAGCCCACAGCGGCAAACGAACAAGAUAAAGGGAAAAGAGGGAUUAGUUAUGAUGGCUAGGAAGGGGGACUUAAAAGAAUUGAGUGAACCCAAUGCCACAUUCUUUGUACUCCUAUAUGAGGAAAAUUUUCUUUCCACUAACGACUUAUCCUCUACUUUGCCAAGUGUUAUUUUUAAUGUGUUACAGGAAUAUGAGGAUGUCUUUCCAAAGGAGGUACCACCAGGGCUACCAGCUAAGAGAGGAAUUGAACAUCAAAUUGACCUUGUUCCUGGCGCUUCACUUCCAACUCGAGCUGCAUACCGCUCCAAUCCGGAGGAAACAAACGAAAUUCAGCAACAAGUGGAAGAAUUGAUGAGAAAAAGGGUAUGUGCAGGAAAGUCUUUCACCUUGUGCAGUCCCUGUUCUUUUAGUUCCUAAAAAAUAUGGUUCAUGGAGAAUGUGCGUUGGUUGUAGAGCUAUUAAUAACAUCACAGUAAGAUAUAAGCAUCUAAUUCCUAGACUUGAUGAUAUGCUUGAUAAACUAAGUGAUGCAAUAAUUUUCAGUAAAAUUGACUUGAGAAGUGGCUAUCACCAAAUAAGAAUGAGAGAAGGAGAUGAGUGGAAAACAACUUUUAAAACCAAGUUUGGGUUGUAUGAAUGGUUGGUAAUACCUUUUGGAUUGACUAAUGCACCAAGUACCUUUGUGAGAUUGAUGAAUCAUGUGCUUAGAUCUUUCAUUGGCAAGUUUGUUGUGGUUUACUUUGAUGAUAUAUUAAUUUACAGCAAGUCUUUUGAUGAACAUGUUGAGCAUAUCCAAAGUGUGCUUGCUGUCCUACGUGAGCAAAAAUUUUAUGCUAACCUUGACAAGUGCACAUUUUGCACCAACAAGGUAGUCUUUCUUGGGUUUGUUGUUUCAGGUCAAGGUGUGGAGGUGGAUGAGGAAAAGAUCAAAGCUACUCAUGAGUGGGUGCCUCCACAAAAUGUGAGUACAAUCUUCAAUGUUGUCAAUUUGUCUCCAUUCUUUGGACUGGACGAGUCGAGGACGACUCCUUUUCAAGAGGGGGAGGAUGAUAUGACCAUGCCAGCAAGCAAUGUGUCAUAAGCUCCAUGUCAAGCUACAACCACUUAAGUUUUACCUACACCGACACCAGCCCAAGUCAUUGAUGGACCGAUUACAUGUUGUUGAUGCAAAAGCAGGAUCUGCAAACACAAAGGGCUAAUACCCGAUUCAAACGUUAAGGCGUGUGUUGAUGGUUCUUAAGUAUCAAUUUUAAUUAUCAAAUAAAUAUGAGAAAGGACCAAUAUGCAACCAUCACCUAGAAUUAGGGUUUGAUCUGACAGAAUUCCAUGAGUUUUGUUGUUUAUCUGUUUCUGCAGGGGGUUAUCAGGAAAUAAGGAAGAAAGGCCCACAUGUCAGGAUUACAUAGAGAUAUCAACGCACCGCGCAAUUUUACAUCAUCUAGAAGACUCCAGAAGCCACGAGACCGAAGCGGAGGCAAAACUGGGCCAGGCCUAGGGCGCCCGCCCUGGAAGCCUGGGCGCCCGCCCCCCUGCUGGAGCCAAAUCAGGACUCUUUCGUUCGGGAUAUUCCACCGACCUAUUGGAUCAAGAAAAACAUAGUACCACCUCGGCUAUCGACCCAAAAACGCAUAGAAGGGGAGGACUAUAUAAGCAAGGCCCCCUGGCCCCUGGAGAAGACAUGAAGAAAUUAUCAUAGAGACUGAGGGGUGCCCUCGAAGGAAAACCUCUUCUCUAAUUAAUAUUUCUUUUUAGGCUUAGCAAUCAAUGUAAGGUAGAAAUAGAUCUUCUAGUUUCUACUAGAUUGAGAGAGAUAGAGUGGAGGUGUAGAUUGGAGGAAGCCCGGCCUGUCGGUGUCUACUCCAAGCUUGUACCUGCGGGAUCAAGUUCUCCUAACCCGAAGCUUGCUCCUAGGAUUCUUCAGUAAUUCGACUUCUAAAUUCUAGUAAGUUCUUGUUUUAUUGUUCUUAUGGUUUAUGAGUUUACUUUAAUCUCUUCGCGUAGAGUUUAGAGUAAUCAUUGCUGGCGUAAACGUGGUGUUUAGGCUGGGAUACUCAUAGAUAUUCCCUGACUAGCUGGACCGUGGUAGUAGUGAGGAACGUGACAAGUCCGAGCUACCUUUGUAGAUCACAUCUCGUUAGCAGGAAGGAUAGGGUUUAUAGGUGCGGGUCGAACAUCCUUUGUGGUGUCUAGAUUCCGUUAGCCUCCCCAUUAGAACAGUAGAUCAUCCUUACCAAGGUUAGAAGGAGACUACGGAUGCAGUCUUCUCUAUUUAUCACUCACAUCGAAAGACAUUCUUUGUGCCUAAAGGUUAGUAGUAAUAGACCGGUUAGUCAGAUGCACUCUUUCUCCAAGUGGUAAAAAAAUAAAUACGAUACUCUGGAUAAUUUCCCGGGUGAAGUGCUCACCGAUAUCCGUUCGCUUGCGGAUAAAUUCCUUAUUGCGUUCCCAAAUAUCAACAAGCAUUUCUGGCGUCGUUGCCGGGGAGAAAGACGGUUGCUGAGAUAACCUGUGUCUUGCUAUUAGCUUGUAUCUAUACUUUUAUCUUUUCUUAUCUUUUAUAUUCUUUAUUUAUUUUCUUUAUUCUUACCUUAUGGAAAACCAAAAUUCUAAAUCGAUCCAUGAAUCUGCAAUCCUUUUAGCAACUAACCUUUUACCAUGGGAAUCAUCACAGCCUAUCCAAACAUCCCAGUAUAAGUUAAGUUCUAGGUUGAUUGCCAUGAUUCAAAACCUAUCUUUUUCGGGAAAGGAAGACGAAAACCCUUACCUUCAUAUUUGAGAUUUUGAGCAAACAUGUGAUUGUCUUCGCAUUGAAGGCAUUUCUGAUAAGACUUUACGUUGGAAGCUUUUUCCUUUUUCUCUAAGGGGAGAAGCUAGACAAUGGUACAGUCAGAAGGUAAGUCAACAACAAGGUGAAUGGGGAGUUUUACGAGCCAACUUUUGUCUAGAUUUCUAUUCCCUUGACCGUAUAGCCGACCUUAGACUCGAAGUCCUAUCUUUUAAACAAAAAGAUAAUGAAACUUUGGGAAAAUCCUGUAAACGUUUUUCUGAUCUUUUAGAAUCUGGUCCAAACCUUAAUCUUGAAGACCCUGUUCUUUUAUUUCACUUUUUUCGAGGUCUUCAUAAAAAUCACAAACAAAUGCUACACACAAUGUCUAGAGGUUCUUUCUUUCGCAUCCGUGCUAAUGAAGCAAGAGUGAUCCUAGAUAGAAUCCUAGAAGCUGAGAUGGAUAAUACCCUUCAUGAUGAAACCUACAAAGCCGAAGUAGACACUCUGCCAAAUUCUUCAUCUACUUUAGCUAUCCCAAGUUCUGAGCCUCAAGAGGAAGAAAUUCCACUACCGGACUUCAUGCUGGAUAUAGAAUCCGAUCUUUUUGCCGAUUUUGGAAAUAUUUCAAACUACCAUUCUAUUGACAAACCCCAAAACGGCCAAUUUAGCAUUUAUUUACCAAGUGAAUAUCAAUUGAGAGAGCUUAUCUCAGUAAUGAGUAGGGAAUGGUUGGAGGAAUCAGAGCUUUCCUCUGAUGUGAUCCGUUUGGACACACCCUCCAUAACUAUACGCUGUGCUUAUAAUUCUGAUCGAUUUAAUGCUCUUUAUAAUCCUGUUGUGGGGAUCAACAUCAUGUCUGAAUCCUUUGCACUUAAACUAUUUAAAAAUCUUGUCUUAACCCCCACAACAAAGGUCAUAAAGGAAUCUUCGGGACGAUUAGUCCCCAGUCUUGAAAUUAUUAAUGUCCUACCUCUUACGGUAGAAGGCUCCAUGGUUCAUUUGAACUUUUAUAUCUUUGAUACAUGGGACUUUGACCUAUUGAUAGGACAACCUUUUAGAAGACUCCUUUAUGAAGGUCAUACACAUUUCUUUUGGAAAAACUUUUAAAUUCCCAAUAAUAAUUUCACACUCCUUAAAUAAUAAGGCCGAGUCAUAUCUUUUGCCUGAUCCUAUGGAGGAAGUAAAGGCUGCAUCUCUAGAGCUUUUAGAUGAACCAGACUUAGAAGACGAAACUCCUUUCUUCACAGAAGAAGAAGACGAACCUUCCGAGCUUGAACCCUUAGAUGAGUUUGCAAAAACACCUAGACCUCCCAUAGAGCUUAAAACUUUACCACCCGGUCUUACCUAUGCUUUCCUAAACAAUAAUCCAGAGUUCCCUGUGAUCAUUAGCGAUAAACUUACUCAGGAUCAAACUCUGCGAUUAAUGACCAUUCUUAAGAAACAUCACUCAGUUUUCGGCUACUCACUUCAAGAUCUUACGGGAAUCAGUCCUACGAUUUGUACCCAUCGUAUUCCAACAGAUCCUUCUGUUACACCCUCUCGAGAAUCCCAACGUAGACUUAACAACACUAUGAGAGAGGUAGUUAAAAAGGAAGUUAUUAAGUUGCUGCAUGCAGGGAUUAUAUAUCCUGUGCCGCACAGUGAGUGGGUGAGCCCAGUCCAAGUUGUGCCCAAAAAGGGAGGCAUGACAGUUAUUAUGAAUGAAAAGAACGAGCUAAUUCCGCAACGCACCGUCACAGGAUGGCGGAUGUGCAUAGACUAUAGAAAACUAAACAAAGCCACGAGAAAGGAUCACUUUCCUUUACCUUUUAUAGAUGAGAUGCUAGAGCGGUUAGCAAACCAUUCGUUCUUUUGUUUCUUAGAUGGAUAUUCAGGAUAUCACCAAAUCCCGAUCCAUCCCGAUGAUCAAAGCAAAACCACUUUUACAUGCCCUUAUGGAACUUAUGCUUAUCGUAGAAUGUCUUUUGGGUUAUGUAAUGCACCAGCUUCUUUUCAAAGAUGCAUGAUGUCUAUAUUUUCCGAUAUGAUUGAAAAGAUUAUGGAAGUUUUCAUGGAUGAUUUCUCUGUUUAUGGAAAAACUUUUGAUAGUUGUCUUGAAAACAUAGAUAAGGUUUUGCAAAGAUGUGAAAAAAAGCACUUAAUCCUUAAUUGGGAAAAAUGUCAUUUUAUGGUUAGGGAAGGAAUAGUGCUAGGACACUUAGUGUCUGAAAGAGGGAUUGAGGUAGACAAAGCUAAAAUUCAAGUAAUUGAACAACUACCUCCACCUGUGAAUAUAAAAGGAAUGCGAAGCUUUCUUGGCCAUGCUGGUUUUUAUCGUAGAUUCAUAAAAGAUUUUUCAUUCAUUGCUAGACCACUUACUCUUUUGCUAGCCAAGGAUGCUCCUUUCGAAUUUGAUGAUGCAUGUCUAACAUCUUUCAAUUUAUUAAAGAAAGCACUCAUCUCUGCACCAAUCAUUCAACCCCCUGAUUGGUCAUUACCUUUUGAAAUUAUGUGUGAUGCUAGUGAUUAUGCUGUGGGGGCAGUAUUGGGACAAACUAAAGAUAAGAAGCAUCAUGCAAUUGCUUAUGCCAGAAAAACUUUGACAGGAGCUCAACUCAAUUAUGCAACCACUGAAAAAGAGCUUCUGGCUGUUGUCUUUGCCAUUGAUAAAUUUAGAUCUUAUUUAGUUGGAGCUAAAAUAAUUGUUUACACUGAUCAUGCUGCACUAAAAUAUUUGCUCACUAAAAAAGACGCUAAACCUCGCCUGAUUAGAUGGAUUUUAUUACUCCAAGAAUUUGACUUAGAAAUAAAAGAUAAAAAGGGAGUAGAAAAUUCUGUUGCUGAUCACCUGUCUAGAAUGUAUUUUAAGAGUCCACAGGAAACCCCCAUCAAGGAUUCACUCCGGGACGACAUGCUCUACGGGAUUAACAGGUCUGACCCCUGGUAUGCAGAUAUUGUUAAUUUUAUGGUUUCAGGGUAUGUACCACCAGGAGCAAACAAGAAGAAGCUUAUUCAAGAAAGUCGUUCACAUAUAUGGGAUGAGCCAUUCCUCUUCCGAGUAUGCUCUGAUGGCUUACUCAGGAGAUGUGUGACCACUGAGGAAGGAUGGAAGAUCAUUGACAGAUGUCAUUCAUCACCAUAUGGAGGUCACUAUGGAGCAUUCCGUACACAUUCAAAGAUCUGGCAGUGUGGAUUCUAUUGGCCUACAAAGUAUGAAAACACGAAGCAAUAUAUCAGAAGAUGUCGGCCAUGUCAAAGGCACAGAAACAUAAAUACAAGGGAUGCAAUGCCACUCACCAACAACCUUCAGAUUGAGCUCUUUGAUGUCUGGGGAAUAGACUACAUGGGUCCAUUUCCUCCAUCAAAGAAGUGUGAGUACAUCUUGGUGGCGGUUGACUAUGUCUCCAAGUGGGUAGAAGCAUUACCUUGCAAGCAUGCCGACAACGUCAGUUCAAAGAGGAUGUUUGAAGAAAUUAUAUUUCCAAGAUUUGGAGUUCCCAGAGUAGUGAUAAGUGAUGGAGGAGCACACUUCAUCGACAAACACUUCAAACAAUAUCUAUCAAGACAUGGAAUCCGUCACAACGUCGCUACCCCUUAUCAUCCUCAAACAAGUGGCCAAGCAGAGACUUCCAACAAACAAAUCAAGAAUAUUCUUCAGAAGACAGUAAAUGAAAUGGGAACGGCGUGGAAAGACAAGUUACCCGAUGCACUCUGGGCAUACCGGACAGCAUACAAGACCCCAAUUGGAAUGUCUCCAUACCAAUUGGUGUACGGGAAGACUUGCCAUCUACCUGUUGAACUAGAGUUCAAAGCACACUGGGCCAUAAAGAGAUGGAAUAUGGACCUAGAUGUUGCUAGAGAUUAUAGAAGAAUGCAACUAUCAGAAUUGGAAGAAUGGCGAGAGAAAGCAUAUCACAAUUCAAAAAUCUACAAAGAAAGAGUCAAGCGGUGGCAUGACAAGAGAAUCAAGAAGAAGGAGUUCACACCCGGAGAUAAGGUAUUACUUUUUAAUUCCAGGGUAAAGCUUUUCGGGCAUGGAAAACUCCGGAGCAAAUAGGAAGGACCAUUCAAGGUAAUCAAUUCAUCAUCCCACGGAGCUAUCACACUUCAAAAUAGCGAAGGUACGUUAUUCAAGGUAAAUGGUCAACGUCUUAAAUUAUUUUUAGAGCCCAAUGAGGAAUUUGAAGAAAUAGACGUAGUCCAUUUUUACCUUCCCAUAGAAAAUUAGAGCCCGACACUUUUGGUCUGAUGGUUUUGGGUCAUAUAUAUAUAUUUUUCUAAAUAAUUUCGCAUCUAGAAACGCGCUCGGAAAAGUGGGCCCACAGAGGGGCCAGAGAGAGGGCGGGCGCCCAGGUCAAGUGGGCGGGCACCCAGCCCCUGUUCCCCCUCGGUCCCGACUUUCUCUGUUAUGGAAAAUGCACUUAGGGUGAUCCGAAUAAUCCCUCGGAUGGAAAGUUUCGCACGCACAUCGACGGGAGCAACCCGAACCACCCAUAGAGGCAUCCUUUUGACCCCUAUAUAAACAGACCCCUGACCUCAGUUUUCAAACACCAAGCCACCAAGCUUUCUCUCCUUCAAUUAGAGCUUAAUUAGCUCUACUUCAAUUAAAAUUUUAUUAGUUCCUUGUUGCUCCAAUGGCCGACAAGUACCACGACGAUUGGGAAGUCGUCCCCUUCAACCUCAACAUGGAGCCAGUGGAAGACCCCGAUGCUCGUGCUCUCGUCCCGGCCAACACAGAGCGACAGCUAGAAGCCAUGCCAUUACGCCAACGCAGCUCCGCCCAAUCUUACCAUGCUCAACCAGUUCUCACCGCACCACCACAACCCCUACUCCUCAAAGGACCAUCAUCCAAGACGAAGACCACUAUUAAAGUGCCAAUCGGCACAAGGAUCCUUCCACCUAGACCCAAUGAGAGGGUCGUUGGAGUCAAGACCAACCGAAGCGGCGAGAUCAGCAGCGUUCGCUACACUACGGAGGAGGAAAGGCCUUACUUUGAAGGGAUUAGAGCAUCCAAAGUCCGUUUCAUCCCUCCAAAGGCAGCCCCGAAGCACUCUCUCAAUGCUUUUGAGACACCUCCCAAGCGUCGCAAGACUAUAAUGGAUAUUGAUGAGGAAGUUCGCAGGCUAGAUAGAGUUAUCAUAGACCUCCAGUCCUCGAUUAAUUCCCUCACUAGGCAGCUCUCUAACCACAACACCGUUAUAUUAGGCCUUAGGCAGGAUCUUGCCAGUGCCAACAAGAAGAUCAAGGAAUUAGAGCGCCGCUAAGUUAUCUAGAUUAGACCUUGAGGCAAUACAUCUUAGUCAUUUAUCUUUAAAUUUGGUUUAGAUUUACUAUUAUCAUCAGUUUGUUAUCAGUCUUUUGUACUAAAUGCCUCAAGAUCAAUAGAGAGUAUUACUAUUAUUAUUAUGUCUUGUGUGUCUCUACUUUAUUUUUGUGCAAGAAAGCAGAAAACAAGUAUGGGGGAGAUCCCUCAACAUGCCAAACACACUCCGACUACACCACUCCACGAUUCAGGUACACACUCUGCACACUUUACUUUAUACAUAUAUUUUGGAUUAUGCAGAUUAUUGUUUCCGACAUGAUAAGACAAAAAGAUUAAAAUAUUUCUAAUCAUGAUUAAUCUCGAUCUGUGAUAUUUCCUGAAAACUUGCAAUUAUUAUAAAAUCAUUUUAAAACCCUGUGUUACUUAAGUCAAUAUGGAAUAUGUGAUGGUAGAGUAUGAGUUUCUUAUUCUUGAUAUCAUUGUUGCUUGGAGAAUUUAUUUCAAAAUACUCAAAAUUCUAGCUAUCGUCCUCAGUGUUUUAUAUGCCUGAUAAAAAUAAAAAUAUUAAUCAUGAUUAUAAAGCUAUCUACUCUGUAUUGAGUUUGUUCAAAAUGAGUUAGACCCUUGUUGAGAGAUUUAUCAUGCUCCUAAGAUCAAGACAUUAUUUCAGAAAGAUUCACUCUUCUGAAGUAUUAUUGCAUUAGAGGCAUGGGCUAUGCAAAAAUAAAAAUAUUUCGAGGAAAUAAAAAGGAGCAAGUGCUCGACAACCUCGCAGAAAAAAUGGACAAGUGUCCGGCAGUAGAAUUAGGGGUACCUCAGUAUCCACUUAAAAAAAAUGAUGAUAGCCCGUGGUCCCUCUAAUAAGCAAUAUGCCAGCAAGAGUUGACAAAGAUUUUAAUUUCCAAAGUCUUUGAUCUAAGAGUAUGACAUUCCCCUCCUCGGAUCCCGUUUUGAUCAGGCAAUAAAUGCAAAGUAAGUAUGCUUGAGAAUUUUUACAAAAUAAAACAACCUCAGUGAGAUAUAUAUAUAAAAGAUAAUGAGUGAUCUGAGAGAACCUAUGAGGAUAAAAAGGUAUGCUAACUUUCUUUCAAAAAUAUAACAAAAACUCCAAGUGACAGGAUUGAGAAGAAAGGAUCUUUACUCUUAACCAUAUACUUCCCUGACUAUGGUACACGGUGGAAUUUUAAUACCCUGCAAUUAUAUAAAGAGAAUGUUUUAAAUGUUUUACCCCAGAUAUUUUUCUUAACCAUCCUUUUCUCGAGGACGAGUAAAAGCCUAAGUAUGGGGAUAUUUGUUGACGGUUCUUAAGUAUCAAUUUUAAUUAUCAAAUAAACAUGAGAAAGGACCAAUAUGCAACCAUCACCUAGAAUUAGGGUUUGAUUUGACAGAAUUCCACGAGUUUUGUUGUUUAUCUGUUUCUGCAGGGGGUUAUCAGGAAAUAAGGAAGAAAGGCCCACAUGUCAGGAUUACAUAGAGAUAUCAACGCACCGCGCAAUUUUACAUCAUCUAGAAGACUCCAGAAGCCACGAGACCGAAGCGGAGGCAAAACUGGGCCAGGCCCAGGGCGCCCGCCCCCCUGCUGGAGCCAAAUCAGGACUCUUUCGUUCGGGAUAUUCCACCGACCUAUUGGAUCAAGAAAAACAUAGUACCACCUCGGCUAUCGACCCAAAAACGCAUAGAAGGGGAGGACUAUAUAAGCAAGGCCCCCUGGCCCCUAGAGAAGACAUGAAGAAAUUAUCAUAGAGACUGAGGGGUGCCCUCGAAGGAAAACCUCUUCUCUAAUUAAUAUUUCUUUUUAGGCUUAGCAAUCAAUGUAGGGUAGAAAUAGAUCUUCUAGUUUCUACUAGAUUGAGAGAGAUAGAGUGGAGGUGUAGAGUGGAGGAAGCCCGGCCUGUCGGUGUCUACUCCAAGCUUGUACCUGCGGGACCAAGUUCUCCUAACCCGAAGCUUGCUCCUAGGAUUCUUCAGUAAUUCGACUUCUAAAUUCUAGUAAGUUCUUGUUUUAUUGUUCUUAUGGUUUAUGAGUUUACUUUAAUCUCUUCGCGUAGAGUUUAGAGUAAUCAUUGCUGGCGUAAACGUGGUGUUUAGGCUGGGGUACUCAUAGAUAUUCCCUUACUAGCUGGACCGUGGUAGUAGUGAGGAACGUGACAAUUUCGAGCUACCUUUGUAGAUCACAUCUCGUUAGCAGGAAGGAUAGGGUUUAUAGGUGCGGGUCGAACAUCCUUUGUGGUGUCUAGAUUCCGUUAGCCUCCCCAUUCUUACCAAGGUUAGAAGGAGACUACGGUUGCAGUCUUCUCUAUUUAUCACUCACAUCGAAAGACAUUCUUUGUGCCUAAAGGUUAGUAGUAAUAGACCGGUUAGUCAGAUGCACUCUUUCUUCUAGUGGUGAAAAAAUAAAUACAAUACUCUGGAUAAUUUCCUGGGUGAAGUGCUCACCGAUAUCCGUGCGCUUGCGGAUCAAUUCCUUAUUGCGUUUCCAAAUAUCAACAGCGUGCCAGCAGAUUUGACCUUACUAUCGGCAAAGGUGAUAACUCGAAUACUUUGGUCCCGACAACAGCGAUGCGCCCGGAUGCCACGGCCAAGAAGUAUUCACGCGGAACUCGAGAAUACACCGAGCUUAAGACGACGAACUCCUAAGAACUCGUAAUAAAAAGGAAAAUAUGACGAAAUCGUCGAAAAAGUAGAUGCUGGGAUGAGUAAAAACUUGUGUUUGAUUGAUUGAUUGUUUUUUUAUUACAAGGCCCUAGGGUCUACAUUUAUACUCUGCUCAAAGAGCUACAAUCAGACACGACUAGAACUCGAAUUCCAAAUUAAACAGAAUCCGUAUACAAAACGAUUUAAAUAAUUAAGGAAAACAUAAAACUAUCCUCCCAUGACAAACUGGGACACCACCACAGGCCAAUCGGCAACCAUCAUGUUCUUCCUCCGAAUCAUCGGUAGACCCCUCAUCGUAGCCAUCGGCACAGGUUAAUGCUGACCAUCGGCAUAAACACAUCACCAUCCAUGGACUUAGUCACAUUCAGCUGUCCCUUCAUCGGCAACCACCCUCAUCGGCAACUCUCCUGCAGACCAGUUACUGUUGCCCUAUCUUGCCGAUCUACACUCUACCGAUCCUGGGUACAUGUCCAAAAAUGGUGUCAACACAUGCCCCCCAAUUUUGGAGUAUGAAAUCAUUAAUGCUCCAAAAUUCUCUGCAGUAAUGAUGCCUUUCCGCAAUUAAUUCUCCCAAUUUGGCAACCGACAGCCUAAAUCUGAACAACCUUGGCCCGAUUCUUCCGCAGAUUCCUCAAAUUCCUCAACCUCCCAAACGGACAUCUCUACUUUAAUCGCCCAUCGGCAAUAUUACCGUUACAAAGAACUGCCGAUGGACUGACCAGGAAAUCCCGCACAGUGAAAUAUCUCAACCUCUCAAACGGACAUCUCCACUUUAUUCGCCCAUCGGCAAUAUUACCGUUACAAGGCGCUGCCGAUGGACCGACCAGGAAAUCCCGCACAGUAAGAUAUCUCCAGAUCAUGACCGCUUCCUGUCAAAUCACCUGCGCAAUCCCUUGAUUACCGUGUGAACAGUUACCAUAUCCGUCUGAGUACCCUCAGAUUUCACGGAUACGGUGAAGAGAUAAGUCAGAUUUGCCAUUGCCCGUUUUGUCCUACAAAUAGUUCCUUCUCGGGUACUCCUCCUCCAUCGCAUCAUUCUACAUCCCCAACUCUACUUUUCUGGCGGCGGCGCUGUUCGAGAGCACCAAGAACUCCAACGAAGGCUUUUCUCCACCAACCUCAAAGUCUUCAAUCUUCUUCCUUGCGAAGAAAUGGCCAUCAACUUUGCUAUUCCCGAAGUCAGUUCAUCACCCUACCUCUUCUAUUUUUACCAUAUCCUCGUUCAUCCGCAAUUUAUUUUACUAAACAUUCUUGUUCUUUUUUUAUUUUGUUCUUCUUUUUAACCCAGAAACCAUUAGGAUCUGUCCAAUAAAAUUGUCAUCCCUACCGAUCAGCCACACCUUCAAUGUCUCGGUCCGCUAGGGAACCCAGAUCCCACCGAUCUGAUCAACGCAGAAACAAACAGCGUCCCCUUUAGAGCCGAGAAUUUUUCUCUAGAUCUGUGGAAAGAUACCUUCCGUUUCUGGCCCAGUCCUACCAUGGGAUGGAAGGAUUGGUUCUUGAGAGUCAGCCAUUCGAAUGAGGUUCAGUGGGGCGAACGAAAACUAGACUAGUGCAUCAGAUUGUCCCUUGCCGAUAUGCAAUUUAGGAGGCCCCUGGUGGUUCAUCAAUAUGUGGCUUAGCCUCCAUAUGCACAACCAUCUUGAGUUCAACCACUUCGCACAACGCUUCCCCAGGGACAUAGCCAAGGAUGAUGAAUUGGAUGAAGAAGAAUCGGCAACUCGUCCUCCUCUAAACUUUGGCGAGGCUGUCAUAGUUCUACCUGGUACAGGUGGCAACGCAGACCAGGUCAGCCGAUUCUUCCAGACCCUGUACGAAGGCCUAACGAAAGAACAGCGAGCAUGGAUGCCUUAUGAAGAUCCAGGCACCAUGUUUCCUUUGGUCUUUCAUCCGUUCAGUGAUGCCCUCAACAAGGAUCAUGAUGUGAUGAUGGCAUUGAUCACUCCCAGAGCUAUACCAGUAAACUUCUUUGGCAGUGGGAAAGCCUCCAACCAGACCUAUGAGUUUUACAAUCCAUCGGCACUAGCCCGUCAACUAGCUUUCGGUCAGCUGCCGAUUGCACUCUGUUAUGCCGAUGUGAUAAAACCCAGGGAAACCAUCACCAGCCUUCUCGAGUGGACUAGGAUAGCUCAACUGCCACCGAGUGCCGAUACAGAUGCAGAUCUAUCAGAGUGGAUUCCGGCUCUUUUCAUUACUCAAGCGUACAAACAAUGGUGGGAAGAAUGGAAGGAGCAUUUGUUCUGCAAAUCGGCUCUUACGUACCACGGCAUGAUCGACCCCCAGUACAAAGUUCCCAAUAACACUGUAAGUAUUUCCAAACCGAUGUCUCAAUCCUUUUACUUUUAUUUCCAUCGGUAACUCACUUUCUGUGUAAUAUUACUGGUUGAUAACAUCCCCCCAUCAGUCAGCAGGAGUGGCAAGCCAAUUGAGCUCUUUCCAUCAGGUCCGAUCUCUUCAAUCGGUAACAACGCUCCCACUUUUGCUGCUAUAAUGCAUCGAGGUGUGCGCCUCAAGAAAGUAACCACCAAGUGUACAAAGACAUCUCCAUCGGUAGCCGCCUCCACUCUAGCACAGGCCUUCAAGGUAACUGCUCAAACUCUUCCAUCCAUACCGAUUCCAUUCUUACAUCUGUUACACUCAUACUCACGAAUUUCCAUCGUUGUAUGAGCAUACCGGCGCAUCGGCAAGGACCAGAAGCACAAGUGCCGAUGCCCCCCAGUCCAGUCAAGCGAAGAGGAAAGGCUCCAAGAGCACCAGAUCACAAGCAAAGCGCCAGAGGACAGCAACACCUUCUCCUCCCCCAGUAUCACCGAUCCCAGUGGAAUAUUCUCCCUCUUCUCCAGAAACCUAGAUACAAUAGGUACCACCUCCUUCUCAGCCACAAGAAGCAACCCAAGUGGAAGAACUCCAACAAGAAGAACCCCAGCCAGAAAUACCUCAGUCGGAAGACACAUCGGCUGACGUGCAUGAGCAAACUACCGAUCCAGCAAGUUCAAUUAUAGCAUCGGUAGUUUCUUCCAUCCAAACAAGCACUGCUCCCCCUCAAGGUAACACACUUUCUAUGAAAUCACUGCUGAUGAACCUACUUUAUCUGUCUUAUAAUUAUCUCUAUUAUUCUUUCAGCUAACAUAGUCCCAUCGGCAACCCCAGCCGAUCAGCCUGUGGUUCCAUCGGCAUCUUCUAGUCAGAGGCGAGAGAUUGCCCUGAAACAAGUAAGUCACUCAAUCUCUAUCGGUAUUAUUUGUCAAUACUUGACCACAGAAUGACUCACUUCAUUUCUUUUUCAGGAACUGGACUCUCCUGACAGCUUGUUCUCCUUUGCCAUCGACAUCUCUGAAGAUGAAGGCGAGGAGACAAGUUCUUCCCGAGCAGUCGGAAUCACAUCAGCAGAAAUCAGGGCCAAGUUAUAAGAAUUAUCAGCCCUCCUUCAUCAAGACACAGCCCAACUAGUUGAUGACUCCGACCCAGCCAAGGCUCUAUUCAAGACCCUUAGAGGCCAAAUUCCUACCGAUGCUGAAGAAAUCCUUUUUUCAAGCUACACAUCUAGAGAGCCGUCAGCUGCAGUAUCAAAAGGCUACCCAGCGUCUUGCCGACAGAGCUGCUCAGACUCAGCUUUCUGAGGAGAUGUUGAAAGUGAAGCCCCUUGCCGAUGAAAAGCACAAGAACAUCGGCAUCUUAAAGUCCUCACGAGAUGCAUUGAAGCACAAGAUCUCUGAUCUGUUGGCAAAAAGAGAAGCCCUGUUGGCACAACUCAAGCAAGUAGAAGAAGCCUUGUCCCAAGCUCAACAAGAGGAAAACCAGCUGCCUGAGGUGAUCAAACUCCUUGAACAAGAGCGAAAUGUCCAUGGUCGUAAAGCGCUGCAGAUGAAGAAGAAGUUGAAGCCGGUGGAAGGCUCUGCCGAUGAAGAAAUCAAAGAGAUAGAAGCAGCCAACCAAAUCCGCCUACGCGCUAUAUCGGCGAUCCAGGCGCUGUUGAAUAUGUGAAUUCUUCAUCGGCAACAUAUUUGCUCCUUUCUUUUGAACACUCCUAAUGUUUUGAUCUAGCCGAUAGGAUUAUUAUCGGCACUUUUAAAAACAUCAAGUCCGUCCCCAGAUACAUUUUAAUCUAGUCGAUAGGAAUGUUAUCGGCACUUAAACUCUUAUGCAUCGACCCAUAUGCUUGGGUAAUACUUCUUUAGAUAUUUGCCAUUUAAUGCUCUGGGAAAUUCUACUCCUUCAAGAGUUUCUAAAAUAUAAGCGUUACCAAGAGCCGAUCGACUUAUCCGAUAGGGACCCUCCCAAUUGGGAGACCACUUCCCAAAUUUUGAACUUUUAGUCCCGAUCGGUAAGAUUAGUUUCCAUACUAAGUCUCCAUCAGCAAACUCCUUAGCUUUUACCUUCUUAUCAUACCAUCUGGCAACUCUCUUCUUAUUUUCUUCUAUACUCAUCAAAGCCCUUAGCUGAUGCUCUGCUAGAUCAUCCAACUCGUCUGUCAUCAAAAUAGCAUAAUCAUCGGCAGCCAAUUGAUCUUGAAAAGAUAGUCGCCUAGACCCAAUCUUGAUUUCCCAAGGUAACACUGCAUCAUGCCCAUAUACCAACUGAUAAGGUGAAACCUUGGUCGACCCAUGACAAGCCAUCCGGUAUGACCAUAAAGCUUCAUUUAACAACGUGUGCCACCUCCUAGGAUUUUCUUCAAUCUUCCACUUAAUAAGCUUGAUAAUUCCUUUGUUAGAUGCCUCGGCCUGCCCAUUAGCUUGAGCAUAAUAAGGAGAAGAGUUUAAUACUUUAAUUCCCAUACCGAUUGCAAAUUCAUCAAACUCCCCCGAUGUGAACAUAGUACCCUGAUCGGUAGUAAUUGUUUGAGGAAUUCCAAAUCGGUAAAUAAUAUGCUCUUUCACAAAAUCAAUCAUAUUGGCCGAUGUAACUUUCUUUAAAGGAAUAGCUUCAACCCAUUUGGUGAAAUAAUUGGUGGCAACCAAAAUAAAUUUAUGUCCUUUGCUGGAUGGCGGAUAAAUCUGGCCGAUCAAAUCAAUAGCCCAUCCCCAAAACGGCCAAGGCUUGAUGAUAGGAUUCAUGGCGGAUGCAGGUGCCCUUUGAAAAUUGCCAAACUUCUGACAUCCUUGACACCCUUUGAAAUACUUAAAGCAAUCCUCAAGUAUAGUCGGCCAAUAAUACCCAUUUCUUCUGAUCAUCCACUUCAUCUUAAAUGCUGACUGAUGUGCUCCACACACUCCCUCAUGGAUCUCUCCCAUCAAACUCCUAGCCUCGUCAUCACCUAAACACCUGAGGAAAAUCUCAUCAAUAGUUCGAUAAUAUAAUUCAUCUUCGAGGAGCACAUACUUGGUGGCUUGAAACCGAACACGCCUCUCUACUUUCUUGGAUGGAUCCUUUAAAUAAUCAAUGAUUUCUUUUCUCCAAUCAUCGGCACCGAUUGCUGAUAUUACAUUAAUCAUGGGCUGAUAUCCCGAGGCACGCUGAGCCAACCGAUUGGCCUCUUCAUUAUGCAGUCGAGGAACAUGCUCUAAUUGGAAGUCCUUGAAUUCCUUUAACAGUUGCAUACUCCAUUCAUGAUAAGUUAUUAGGAUCUCGCUUUGGCAUUCAUAGCUUUCAGCCAAUUGAUUUAUAACCAGCAUAGAAUCCCCGAAGAUUUCAACAGCGUCAGCAUGAACUUCCCUUAGUAAUUCCAACCCUUUUAUCAAAGCUUGAUACUCAGCCUGAUUAUUUGUUGACGUGGCAACAAUCGGCAAAGAAAACUCGUACUUCCUUCCCUGAGGGGAAAUUAACACUAUGCCGAUUCCUGCCCCCCGGUCACACGUGGAUCCAUCAAAGAAGAGCGUCCAAGGUACAAUUUCCAAAGUCUCCACUGUACCGCAAUGCUGAGUCACAAAAUCGUCCAUAAUUUGUCCCUUAACCGCCUUAGCCGAUUCAUAACGCAAAUCGAAUUCUGAUAGUGCCAAAAACCAUUUACCGAUCCUGCCACUCAUGAUCGGCAUAGAUAGCAUGUAUCGGACCACAUCAUCUUUGCAAAUAACAGUGCAUUCGGCCGAUAGCAAAUAAUGCCUUAACUUAAUACAGGAGAAGUACAAGCAUAAGCACCGUUUCUCAAUAGCCGAAUACCUGGUCUCAGCAUCAAUCAACCUUCUGCUUAAAUAGUAAAUCACACGCUCCUUCCCUUCAAACUCUUGAAUCAAAGCUGAACCGAUGACCAUCCCAUCGGUAGACAAAUAUAAUCUGAAGGGCUUUCCUUGCUGAGGUGGAAUCAGAACUAGAGGAUUUACCAAAUAACUCUUAAUUUCAUCCAAGGCAAUUGUUACACUUCCCCCAAACAAACUCUUGAUCGGCUUUCAACUUAAGUAAAGGACUGAAAGCACGAAUUUUACCAGAUAAAUUAGAUAUAAACCUCCUGAUAAAAUUUACCUUGCCGAUCAAGGAUUGGAAUUCAGUCUUGUUGGUAGGGGCAACUAUGUUGUUGAUAGCAUCAAUGGAUCUCCGACUAAUUUCAAUUCCCGUUUGAUGCACCAUGAAGCCAUGAAAUUGUCCUGCCGAUACACCAAAUGCACACUUAUUGGGAUUCAUCUUUAAACCAUGCUUCCUUGUGCAUUCCAAUACCUUUCGCAAAUCGGCAAGAUGCUUUGUGAAGUCUCCAGACUUAACCACCACAUCAUCAAUAUAAAUUUCCACCAGCUUGCCGAUGAACUCAUGAAAUAUAAAAUUCAUAGCCCUCUGAUAAGUAGCACCAGCAUUUUUCAAGCCAAAGGUCAUGACUAUCCAUUCAAACAACCCAACAUGACCAGGACAUCUAAAUGCAGUAUUGGGAAUAUCCUCUUCAGCCAUGAAUAUUUGAUUGUAUCCUGCAUUGCCAUCCAUAAAGCUGAUAAUCCGAUGCCCAGCCGCGGCAUCAACUAGCAGAUCGGCAACUGGCAUUGGGUAUCCAUCCAUCGGCGUAGCGUUAUUGAGAUUCCUGAAAUCAAUGCAAACCUGAAGCUUCCCAUUUUUCUUGUAGAGUGGAACAACAUUGGAAAUCCACUCGGCAUACCGACACUGCCGAAUAAAUUUAGCUUCGAUAAGUUUAGUUAUUUCGGCCUCGAUGUCAGGAAGAAUAUUAGGAUUACAUUGGCGAGCUGGCUGUUGAUGUGGCUGAAAUCUAGACUUAAUGGGUAACCGAUGUUCAACAAUUGAUCGGUCCAAACCAGGCAUCUCAGUAUAAUCACAAGCAAAGCAAUCUUUAUAUUCUUUUAACAAAUCAGUUAACCAUUGCUUACACUUAGAAUUUAACUUUGCACUAAUAAAAGUAGGUCUAAGCUUAUCACCACUACCUAUAUCUACUUCUACCAAAUCAUCGGCCGAUGUGAAUCCCUGGCCUAAUUUUCCAUCAUCGGCGAACCUAUCCAUUAAAAACCUUCAUCAGAUCCGACUGCUUGGAUCGGUGGAAUUUCAUAAUCGGCAACUUUGAGAAAAUCCUUUUCCAAAACUUCUCCCAAAAUACACCUAGUUCUUUCGUAGGUGUCUGCCUCUGCCGAUGCAAUAACAUAGGAAGAAUCUCCUGGGACAAUUUCAAUCUUGUCACCUACCCACUAGACCAAGCACUGGUGCAGUGUAGAUGGGAUGCAGCUGUAACAGAACCGACCAAAUUAUAAGAGAUUAAGCCUAAUAGUGACCAUUUGCAUAGUCGAACUAUCACGCUUAAGCCCAUAUAAUCCCGGUAGUCCGUGAAAUCUCGAAGGAUUUCAAACCACACAUCACAUAUACAACCAAGAUCGUAAUAAGUUUAGCGGUCGCCAUCCACAAUCACAUCCAGAUUACAACAUUCAUAAAUACAUCGGAGUGCUUAAAGUUAUUACAAACCAAGUUCUUCAAGUAGCGGAAGCUUCAUAGUUUGAAAAUACAACACACACGAUAAGUCUGAUACAGUGCCAUAGUUCGGUCAUUCCCACAAAAGCAAAAGAAGAGACGGAGUGACCAUCACCCUUGGUCUAGUCAUCACCCAUAGCUGGGUACAGACAGAGGAUGCAAUAACCAUAGUACAUUUGACCAUCUGCAAAACAACAUGGGAAUAGAACCCUGAGUACGAGAAGGUACUCAGCUAGACUUACCCGUCAUAAACUUAAAAUAAAGACUCAUCAAGGAUCAUGAAGGCUAUUUAGUGGGGUAGCUGACAACCAUUUUGCAAAGACCGCAAGGUUUUAUUAUCCGAACCUACAUAAUUCUUUUCUUCUUUUAAUCUGCUCAAGUUGAAAGUAUCAUUACCUAUUAUCUAGGUUUGCUCCUGUGCUAUUACAAGCAAGUAUGAGAUUAUGAUAGUACCUCAUCACAGCAGUCAUAAACCCGUUUCAUUAUAACCCAAGUGUUCCAUAGUCCUUACUACGAGGACGAAGCUUAUGUCAAGUGCUCACUAUCCAGGAGCGAUGGCGAUUCGAAUCGAUUUCUAACCAGCUGGCGACUUUAUUCCCCACACAAACCACACUCACUGAUCAAGUGAGCUACAGGUCACCGUGUUGCACUAUCCAGGACCAAUUCGCGGGUUCGACAGGCACCGCCCGUACCCGAGGACCGUUCCGGCGACCGAGGUAUCCAAGGUAUACCAAGGUUGCGCGCCGCGCCCUCGUCGUUCUCUUCGACCAUCACCAAUACAGCGCGUACAUCGGGCCGAUUCCCGGCCCGGAUAGUGCUCAGGCUUCGCGGUCGGAACGACUUAUCCUUCCAGCUAAAUGUGGGGCAUGCGUUCAACAUGACAAGAGGGCCGUCAACGAUCGGUCCUUAAUCGACACAGACAGGGGCACUAUGGUCAACCCACCAUAAGACCCUGCCCGGUCUCCAAAUUCAUUCCACCCUGGGUUAUUCCUUUCCCCGAGCAACCAAUGCUUAAUCAAGCAGGUAUCCACCUAUAUCUCGCAGAUGACAGGACAUCACCCGACUUCUACCGGACUAAGCAAGCUAAGCAUAGACUCCGCGCCUAUCUACAUAGGACAAGGUAGAUAACGAGUAGGGAUAACAAGGAGUACAUAUGCAGCAACGGUAUCAGGCAACUCCUAUCACUUAAUAUGCAAUAUAGUAGAAUAAGUAUAGCACUUUAUAUAAGUUAGCGAGAAUAGGGAGACUUAGAAUGCUCCGGGGCUUGCCUUUCUCAAACGUGCUGGGUCUGUGAUCCGGACACUCCUGCAGUUCCUCUCCGGGCUCUUGUGCUUCCGGAGGUUCCUGCUCCUGAAGCUCCUCGGGUUCCUUGGUUCCCACCUCGUUCUCCUGCGAGCCUGUAUGAUGCAUAUAUGCUCAUGAGUGGAGUGCGGAAUGCCCGAGUGGAUGCUUAUAUGAGAGAGUACCAAAGGAGUCAUGUUAUGAUGCAUAGGUAAUGUACUUGGUCAUGCUUAUUACAAGGUAGUCAACAUCAUCCAAGAAUAAACAAUUGAAUCAAACAUCUAUUACAUUCUCUUCUAUAAUUAUUUUUCAAAUGACAUCAGCAACCUACAUGAUGCUUCAAAGAUACACCAAACCCAACCUAGUCCAUUCAACCCACAUACACAACCAUUCAAAAUUUUCUUUAUUCAUUUCUAAGCCCAUUAAAAAUCACAUGCAAUUCUGUUCAUCAAUAAAUUCUAGAAAAAUUACAGGAGACUACUAGCUAAUCAUAAAGUCUACUGUAAAUUUUUCAUAAUUUUUGGUUACUUAUUUUGAGCCACAAAAAUCACAAGAUUAAUGGAUAAGGCAAGUAUAAUCACCCUACUGUGAUAUGAGUGUCAAACAACAGAUUUCAUAUUUUUACAAUUUGUCUAAUAUCAUAAGAAACAUCCACAAAAUUUUCCAGAUUUAUUGCAUGACUCAAUUAAUUAUUAAAAAUCAUAAAGUACUGCCAUGCAAGCAUUUAAAUUACCAUAAAUUCAUUUAUACACCAAAUAAUAUGUAACAAUAUUUUCUCAGUGAGUAAACACACAUGCAGAGCUAGCAAAACAAGUUUCACAUUUUUCUGAGCCAUAUUCCAUUUACUAUGCAUUUUCCAAGUUUAACAAAAUCAUGGAUAAAAUAUAUUCACACAGAAAAGUUGCUCCAACAUGACAUGCAAUUACAUCCAACUGUAGAUCUGGAAAUAUAGAGCACACCAAAAUUUAUCUCAUUCAAUUUGGAGCUGUAGAACUCAAGAUAUAGAUUUUACAAACUUUAAAUCAAUUUCUGGAAAAUACUUUUUCAAGAAAACCGACGAAAAACGCUACGCUCACCCAGAUCUACACCCACCGGGGUACCCCUGCGACUGACAGUGGGUCCCCGACCCCACCAGUCAGCGAGACCGAGAGGGAGCUCACCUCCGACGAGCGGAUCUCGCCGGCGGUGAGGUCUCCGGCCACGGGGUGAGCACCAACGUGCUCCCCGCAGCAAGACGCACCCAGCGGUACCCUUGGAUCGACCAGAGGACGGCCGGAACACCUCCGGCGAGCAUGCAUGGCGGCACGGCGGCGCUGCUCGCCGUGGCCAGGCUGCUCCGGCGCGGUAGAGCGUGCGCAAACGCCUCUCCGAGCUUCCUCACCUUCCUACCGACCUAGCGCAACAGAGAACGAGCGAAAAGACGCAGGGAAACGCUAGAUCCACCGCGGCGGAGUACUCCGGCGAGCUCGGGGUAACUCCGGCGAGCGAUUCACGGCGCUCGACGGACUCUCACCUCGGUAGAACGUUCGCACGAGCUUACCCUAGCGACGGCGAGUGCCCUGGUGCCCUCGGCGUCGAGCUUGAGGCUCUGGUGUGGCCGGCGACGAGCGGCGGAGCUCUCUCCGGCAAUGGCGUGCGGAGGAGCGGCUGCUGCGGCGCGGUUCGAGCGGAGGAGGAAGGAGAAGGAGGGCGCGGGGGGGGACAGAACGGGCGAGUGGUCUGGGAGCCAGCGCCGGCGUCCCGACCAGGGGGGUUGGAGGCCGGCCGCGGCGCGUCCAACGCCGGCGUACGGCCGCCACGUGGCCGGCGCCGGGUGGAACAAGGCGGGCGCCGCGCGCGCGGGAGAGAGGGGAGGGGGAGCAGGCCGCGCUGCCCAGCUGGGCCAGAAGGGAGGCGGGUCGGCCCAGCAGCGCCUGCCCCCUUUCCUUUUUUUUUUGAAAUUUCUUUUCUCCAAAUUCUUUCUAAAUUCAUUUGGACCAAUUUAAAAUCAUUUUCACCUCUUGCUCCCAAAAGCAAAGUUGUUCCAAAACAAAAACUCUACCACUUUGUUUUAACAAGCAAGACCAAAUUCCAAACAGAAUUUGAAUUACAAGUUAAAACUCAGUUCUAGGUUUUAAUUAAAUUCUUUUUGGAUAUUUUUGUAUAAAUUCCAUUUCUCAAAUUCCAUAGCUCCAAAAAUUGCACAAAAAUAUUCUAAAUGCUUCUCACACAUAAAUCAACCUAAUUUGAAUUUUUCACAAUUUUAGGAGCAAGUAUCAUAUUUUUAACAUAUUUAAAACACAUGAAAUGAAGCACAUAAAAUCAUAAUUUGACAAGAGUGUCAUGCUCAUGAUGCUUAUGCUUGAUGGAAUGCUUAUGCAGGGCUUUGGUGAGACUAAGUGCAUGCUUAACACCUAGGGUGUUACAGCCCUUCCCCCCUUAGGGAAAUCUCGUCCCGAGAUUUUGGGUUACUAACCAUUUCUUGUGAAAUUUUGGAUAAACUGUUUUUAAGUAAUCCUCUGUUUCCCAGGUGGCAUCCCUAUCGUCAUGAUGACUCCACACCACCUUAUAUGUUCUGACAAUUCUGUUUCGGGUUACUCGCUCCUUGGUAUCCACGAUUCCCACUGGCUGCUCUUUAUACUCUAAGUCUGCUUUUAUUUUGAUCCCUCGGGGUUCAACUCUUUGCUCAGGCACUUUCAAACAUUUCCGUAGUUGCGACACAUGGAAGACCGGAAAGAUCGAGCUCAUCUCUUCAGGUAACUGGAUCUUAUAGGCCACUGGGCCUUUCCUCUCUAGUACUUGGUACGGUCCCACAUAUCUGGGUGCAAGCUUGCUUCGAACUCGGAAACGUUGAACUUUCUUCAUCGGCGUAACCUUGAGGUACACAUAGUCACCUAUGUUGAAUUCAAGUGGCCUUCUUCUCUUAUCAGCAUAACUCUUCUGUCGCGAUUGCGCUGCUUGCAUAUGUUGCUGUAUAAUCUGCACCUUUUUCUCGGCAUCAUUCACAAAGUCGAUACCAUAGUAUCUUCUUUCACCAGGUUCAACCCAGUUUAACGGAGUUCGACAUCUUCGACCAUACAAAGCUUCAAACGGGGCCAUCUUGAUGCUCUCUUGAUAACUAUUAUUGUAGGAGAAUUCAGCCAAAGGUAACCACGAUUCCCAUGAUCCCUUGGAUGAUAGCACACAGGCUCUCAGCAUAUCUUCUAACACUUGAUUUAGUCUCUCGGUUUGUCCUGAAGUCUGGGGAUGAUACGCCGUGCUUCUUAUCAGACUGGUCCCCAAGCUCUUAUGCAUGCGCUCCCAGAAGUGAGCAGUGAACUGCGGUCCUCUAUCUGAUAUGAUUGUCUUGGGAAUACCAUGCAACUUGACAAUCUCAGCCAUAUAUAUAUCGGCAUACUCGGGAGGUCUGUAUGUGUUCUUGACUGGAAUGAAAUGAGCCGACUUGGUUAAUCGAUCUAUGAUUACCCAAAUCGAGUCAUUCCCCUUCCUGGUUGUCGGUAAGCCGGUGAUAAAGUCCAUACUGACCUCUUCCCAUUUCCACUCCGGGACUGAUAACGGUUGUAACAGACCUGCAGGUUUCAUGUGGACGGCCUUAACUCUGCAACACGUGUCACAACGGGCCACAUAAGCUGCUAUUUCUUUCUUCAUCUUGGUCCACCAAAAGUGGGGCCUUAGAUCUUGAUACAUUUUGCUACUGCCAGGAUGAAUAGAAAGCUUAGAGAGAUGGGCUUCAUCCAUGAUGCGAUUCUUCAACUCCCGAUCUUUCGUGACCACUAACCGCUGUUGAAACCACAGUACCCCCUUCUCAUCAACCCGAAACUGAGUCUUUGGGUCAUCUUUGAUCUUCUCUUUGAUGUGGAAAAUACCCUUGUCUGUUUUCUGACCUUCAAUGACUUGACUCUCGAGUGAACAACCGAGUUGUAUAUGACAUAAGACCUCAGGAUGCAUAAGAUUGAACCCAUCUUCAAACAACGGUUGAACCAUUUGAUAGUGCGGUUUGCGACUCAAAGCAUCUGCGACCACAUUAGCUUUGCCUGGAUGAUAGUGAACUUCCAGGUCAUAAUCCUUGAUUAGCUCUAACCACCGUCGUUGCCUCAUAUUCAGCUCGGACUGAGUGAAGAUGUACUUCAAACUCUUGUGAUCGGUGUAAAUGUGACACUUAUUUCCUAGCAGAUAAUGUCUCCAGAUCUUCAAAGCAUGUACCACUGCUGCUAACUCAAGGUCGUGCGUUGGAUAGUUGACUUCAUGCUUCCUCAACUGUCGGGAAGCAUAAGCUAUCACCAUGCCAUCUUGCAUCAACACACACCCCAGGCCACUCUUCGAUGCGUCACAAAACACAUCAAAAGGCUUCUCUAUAUUAGGUUGUGCCAGAACGGGAGCAGUGGUUAGCAACUUUCGCAAGGUGCGGAAGGCUAACUCACACCCCUCCGUCCAGACGAACUUAUGAUCCUUUUGUAGCAAACUUGUCAUUGGCUUAGCAAUCUUGGAGAAGUCAGGUAUGAAACGACGAUAAUACCCGGCCAGACCAAGAAAACUUCUAACUUCCGAGACCGAAGUUGGUGCCUUCCAGUCCAUGACUUCCUGCACUUUUGAUGGAUCCACGGCAAUCCCUUCUUCAGAUAAAAUGUGCCCUAGGAACGGAACUUUCUUUAACCAGAAUUCACACUUGCUGAACUUGGCAUAUAACUGAUGCUCUCGUAAUCGUGUCAGCACGAUUCUCAGAUGUUCGGCGUGAUCUUGCUCAUUCUCUGAAUACACCAGGAUAUCAUCGAUAAACACCACAACAAACUUAUCCAAUUCUGGCAUAAAGACUGAAUUCAUCAGAUACAUAAAGUAUGCAGGAGCAUUUGUCAACCUAAAGGACAUGACAAGAUACUCGUACAACCCAUAUCUGGUGGAGAAAGCAGUCUUCGGGAUAUCUUGCGGACGAAUCUUGAUUUGGUGAUACCCGGAUCUCAAAUCUAUCUUAGAAAACACUCUUGCUUUGGAUAACUGAUCAAACAGGAUAUCAAUCCUUGGCAGGGGAUACUUAUUUUUGAUUGUCACUGCAUUGAGUGGACGAUAGUCCACGCACAUGCGCAACGACUGAUCCUUCUUUUUCACAAACAACGCUGGACAACCCCAUUCCGACGAGCUGGGCCGGAUGAACCCUUUUUCUAGUAACUCCUUUAGUUGUUUCUUCAAUUCUGCGAGUUCGUUUGGUGGCAUCCGGUACGGCCUUCUGGAUAUUGGUGCUGUACCUGGUAUCAACUCGAUCGCAAACUCUACCUCCCUAUCUGGGGGAAGUCCUGGUAAAUCCUCAGGAAACACAUCCGGGAACUCACAUACCACGGGUAUGUGUUCUAGAGAGACUACCUGUACUGCACAUGAAAGACUGGCGAAGUCCAACCGUCUAGGUAGCUUGACCUGAAGCACCCCCUUUCCUUGCGGGUCUCUAAGGGAAAGAGUUCUAUUCCCGGUAUCUAUAACCGCGCCCCAAUCAGUCAUUUUGUUCAUCCCAAUGAUGACAUCCAAAACCAGUCCUGGCAUGACCACAAGGUUUACACGGAACCUCCGACCACUGAUAUCCAAGGUAACUCCUGUUACCGUUUUAUUAGUCAACACAUCUGCCUCGGCUGAGCUGAUGCGAUAGCCAUAACCUAACUCAGUAACUGGCUGAUCAUGCUUUUGUGCAAAUGCUUGACUCAUGAAAGAAUGCGACGAUCCAGAAUCAAACAAAACAACUGCAAGAUGUUGGUUGACAGAAAACAUACCAGCUAUUACCGGUUCUCCUUCCGGGAUUUCCUCAAUCGAGGUAUGAUGCACACGAGCUGGAUAUGUUGGCGGCUGCCUCUUGGGGUAGGGACAUUCCUUAGCGAAGUGCCCCAUCUUGUGGCAGUUAUAGCAUGGACCCUUGGGCGCAUUGUUGACGGCAGGUGCUGCAGCUUGAAUGGCCUUUGGCUUGGCAGGAGCUAUCGCCACCUUGUACGGCUUCUGCUGUGUUGGAUGUCCGGUGUUCCUUCUCUGCGGCGGUCGGAACCUAGCACCGGGGGCAGGGGGACGAUACUGCUGUCGCCCUGUCACGGGUGCCCUGGACUGGGAUGAUCCUGCUUCAAAAGCCCUUUUACGUGACUUGGAUGCACUGUAGUUGUUGUUAUUGUUCUCUUGGGUCAGGCAGUCACUGAUAUAGGCAUUGAAAGUAGCCCUGGCCCCUGUACCCAUGGUCUUCAGCAUCUUUGGGUUCAAGCCUCUCUGGAAACUGGCAAUCUUCUUGGCCUCCGUGUUUACAAACUCAGGGGCAUAUCGAGCGAGAUUAUUGAAGGCAUGUAGAUACUCUUUCACAGAUUUCGUCCCCUGGGACAGCCUCAUGAACUCCCCAACCUUCAUUUCAACCACACCAGGAGGAAUGUAAUUUCCCCGGAAAGCGGUGGUGAAGCGGUUCCAGGUGAUUGGUGUCCCCUCUGGGUAGGUGGUUCGGUGAUGGGACCACCAAAUCCCAGCGGGUCCUUGCAACUGAUGUGCCGCAUACUCAGCCUUGAGUUCUUCUGUCAUUCGGAGAAGACGAAACUUCUGCUCCAUGGUGUUGAUCCACUCAUCUGCCUCGAGCGGUUCCAAGGCCUCCUUAAAGAUUGGUGGCUUGGUAUCCAUGAAGUCCUUGAACGAACUGUACUGGUUAACCUCCCGACCACCCUGAUUAUCUCCACGACGGGUGUUGUCAGCUAUGUUGCGCAAAGCUUCUUCCAUGUUGCGCUGCAUCUGUUCCAUGUUGCGUUGGCUUCCCAGAAACUGCGCGAAAAACACAUCCGCAGUGUACGGGGGAGGCGGUGGUGGUGGCGGUGUUGGUGCUCUGUCCUCAAUCCGUUGAGACCCACCUCCGGAUGUACCUGUUCCAAGGCCCGGAUUGCUGCUACCCCCGCCACGUGUUUGUACCAUCUGCAUACGCCAAUGAUAAGCAAUCGUUAGGAGUUGCCAUCAACCGGUAGAAAAUGUGUAAAAUCGUGCCAUACUGAAUUUACUGAAGGAAUAAAUUCACACAAUAAACAAAGGCACAACAACUCAUUAUCCACGCACAACAUCACUAACAGAUUACUUAUCAUCCACGCAACAAGGUUCGCGUACAUCCAACUUGCCAGCAUACAUACACUGGACUUUCCGUAUCAACUCAUAAAGUCUUACACAGCCCAGAUCCAAAAGUACAUGACAUGCCACGCAACAUACAUCACAAAAGAGGGAAGACUAGCUCUAGAGCCCUAGCAUCUACUCGCUGUGGUCACUGUCCAUGCCAGAGCCAUCCUCAUCCUCGUCACCACUAGCAGCUGCUCCUAACUCGGGAUCCGCGUCCAUCUCGUCCUCAGAGUCUAGCUCCGCGGCUCCAGGUAGGUGGUGAGGGUGGAGCUGGUUAUGCAGCUGGUGGAUCUCCUCAUGCAAGUUCUCAUUGUACUCCUCGGCAUUAGCUAGCUGCUGCUCUAGCUCUAGCUGUCGGGCCCUCAAAGUGUCCUCCUCGUGCCAGGCUUCAUUCCUCUGUCCAAGCACAUGGACUAGCAUGCGCUCGCAGUUCCUGUGAGCAGUAGUCACCCUGUCCUUCUGCUCCCGUACUGCAAGCAGGUCCUGACUCAGCUCACUGUUCUUCUGGACUGCCUGGUCUCUCUCUCUGGUCACACGAGCCAACUCUGCCUGUAGCCUCUCAACCUCAGAGUCAAACUCACGCUGCAACUGACGCUUCUCAUCCUGGACGGUGAGAAGAGACCCGGACAAGCGACCCAAACAACGCUCCAGGCCUCCAUAGGUCUUCAUCAACGCGUACAUGGCACUCAUAGCUGCACUGUCACUGUGCUGGUCCUCAUCCGCACUCCUCUCUAGAGCAUUCACCUCGGAUUGAUCCCACACCGAAGUGUAAGGGUCACCCCGGGGAAACACCCCAGCGAAGGCGUGGGCCAGCUCCUGUGGAAACCUCUCCAUGAGGUCCCUCAAAACUGCGAAAGCUGCCCUGCUGGCACCGUGGAAAGGCGUGACACCUCGGGACUCGUACACCCAGCCGCCCCAAGCAGGGUCUCCUCCACUGGUAGGGACAACUGCCUCAAUCCCCACCAGGGUCUCGUCACCAAGCGGCUCCUUAUCCCAAUAGUAGCGAGGCUCCCUUCCUUCGGGAUACCCCAUCGAACUGAGCACCCUCCAAAGCAAAGUGGGCAUCCCAAACUCCUCUAGGAACUUGCUCUUAUGUCGCGAGCUCCUAGCUGCCAACGGAUGGCGAGGGGCCCGCCCACCAGUGGACUUGCGAGCGGUGAGCCUAGUGCGUGCCAUCUGCUGCAAAUGGAACACCGUGGGUAAGAGCGAGGAUUACCUUUAAUUAUUUUAUUUAGAAUUGGGACAGAUUAAAUUAAGGGGGAAGUAAGCAAUGAUAUGAAAUGAACAUGAUGCAUGCACGAACUUACUAUCUCACAAACUUUGAAACAAAGGUUAACACUAAGCGGUAUAUGCGGUGGCACCCAACGUUCUCUCAUACGUAACUAGCGUUCUAAGCGAGAACGUGGUUAGUGUACCUGCAGAAAACUCAUUUCAGCCCACCCACAAUAUGAUCAUGCAGAGCAAGAAUUUAAAACCAUGCACUUCACAUACACAGACACCCGUCCAUGCAUGUGACGUGCCACUACCCACAUCAUCGCCCUAUUGACGGCAUCGCCUCUCAGGACGGAAUUCCCAGCAUGCGGUACUGUUCCCAAGACACACCAACAUGUGUGCAUGACACAGCACCUGACAACACUUCCCUAGACCGGCAGUGUAUCCGAUCAUGCUCUCACAACUCCCACUUACCAUGGCGUAGAGGAAGAAUUGAUCCAUACAUUACCACUCAAAUGAAUGGCACUCAUACUAUUGCACGCCGUAUGAGCGACGAAAUAAAAAUAUGAUGCACUAACCCCCAAGUCAGUACUUAGCUAGCCACCUUAGAGUCCUUAACUGGGCAUAAAGGAUAUGACCAUGGCACACUAGAUAGUUUUCCAAAACUUAGUUUAACACCUUGAUCUUUAUUAAUUACUAAAAUCUUUCAUUAAACCGGUUUAGACUUUUGUUCAGAGCGUGCUUAUGAACAGUAACUCGCUAAACUUUGCUCCGAUGCCAGCUGUAACAGAACCGACCAAAUUAUAAGAGAUUAAGCCUAAUAGUGACCAUUUGCAUAGUCGAACUAUCACGCUUAAGCCCAUAUAAUCCCGGUAGUCCGUGAAAUCUCGAAGGAUUUCAAACCACACAUCACAUAUACAGCCAAGAUCGUAAUAAGUUUAGCGGUCGCCAUCCACAAUCACAUCCAGAUUACAACAUUCAUAAAUACAUCGGAGUGCUUAAAGUUAUUACAAACCAAGUUCUUCAAGUAGCGGAAGCUUCAUAGUUCGAAAAUACAACACACACGAUAAGUCUGAUACAGUGCCAUAGUUCGGUCAUUCCCACAAAAGCAAAAGAAGAGACGGAGUGACCAUCACCCUUGGUCUAGUCAUCACCCAUAGCUGGGUACAGACAGAGGAUGCAAUAACCAUAGUACAUUUGACCAUCUGCAAAACAACAUGGGAAUAGAACCCUGAGUACGAGAAGGUACUCAGCUAGACUUACCCGUCAUAAACUUAAAAUAAAGACUCAUCAAGGAUCAUGAAGGCUAUUUAGUGGGGUAGCUGACAACCAUUUUGCAAAGACCGCAAGGUUUUAUUAUCCGAACCUACAUAAUUCUUUUCUUCUUUUAAUCUGCUCAAGUUGAAAGUAUCAUUACCUAUUAUCUAGGUUUGCUCCUGUGCUAUUACAAGCAAGUAUGAGAUUAUGAUAGUACCUCAUCACAGCAGUCAUAAACCCGUUUCAUUAUAACCCAAGUGUUCCAUAGUCCUUACUACGAGGACGAAGCUUAUGUCAAGUGCUCACUAUCUAGGAGCGAUGGCGAUUCGAAUCGAUUUCUAACCAGCUGGCGACUUUAUUCCCCACACAAACCACACUCACUGAUCAAGUGAGCUACAGGUCACCGUGUUGCACUAUCCAGGACCAAUUCGCGGGUUCGACAGGCACCGCCCGUACCCGAGGACCGUUCCGGUGACCGAGGUAUCCAAGGUAUACCAAGGUUGCGCGCCGCGCCCUCGUCGUUCUCUUCGACCAUCACCAAUACAGCGCGUACAUCGGGCCGAUUCCCGGCCCGGAUAGUGCUCAGGCUUCACGGUCGGAACGACUUAUCCUUCCAGCUAAAUGUGGGGCAUGCGUUCAACAUGACAAGAGGGCCGUCAACGAUCGAUCCUUAAUCGACACAGACAGGGGCACUAUGGUCAACCCACCAUAAGACCCUGCCCGGUCUCCAAAUUCAUUCCACCCUGGGUUAUUCCUUUCCCCGAGCAACCAAUGCUUAAUCAAGCAGGUAUCCACCUAUAUCUCGCAGAUGACAGGACAUCACCCGACUUCUACCGGACUAAGCAAGCUAAGCAUAGACUCCGCGCCUAUCUACAUAGGACAAGGUAGAUAACGAGUAGGGAUAACAAGGAGUACAUAUGCAGCAACGGUAUCAGGCAACUCCUAUCACUUAAUAUGCAAUAUAGUAGAAUAAGUAUAGCACUUUAUAUAAGUUAGCGAGAAUAGGGAGACUUAGAAUGCUCCGGGGCUUGCCUUUCUCAAACGUGCUGGGUCUGUGAUCCGGACACUCCUGCAGUUCCUCUCCGGGCUCUUGUGCUUCCGGAGGUUCCUGCUCCUGAAGCUCCUCGGGUUCCUUGGUUCCCACCUCGUUCUCCUGCGAGCCUGUAUGAUGCAUAUAUUCUCAUGAGUGGAGUGCGGAAUGCCCGAGUGGAUGCUUAUAUGAGAGAGUACCAAAGGAGUCAUGUUAUGAUGCAUAGGUAAUGUACUUGGUCAUGCUUAUUAUAAGGUAGUCAACAUCAUCCAGGAAUAAACAAUUGAAUCAAACAUCUAUUACAUUCUCUUCUAUAAUUAUUUUUCAAAUGACAUCAGCAACCUACAUGAUGCUUCAAAGAUACACCAAACCCAACCUAGUCCAUUCAACCCACAUACACAACCAUUCAAAAUUUUCUUUAUUCAUUUCUAAGCCCAUUAAAAAUCACAUGCAAUUCUGUUCAUCAAUAAAUUCUAGAAAAAUUACAGGAGACUACUAGCUAAUCAUAAAGUCUACUGUAAAUUUUUCAUAAUUUUUGGUUACUUAUUUUGAGCCACAAAAAUCACAAGAUUAAUGGAUAAGGCAAGUAUAAUCACCCUACUGUGAUAUGAGUGUCAAACAACAGAUUUCAUAUUUUUACAAUUUGUCUAAUAUCAUAAGAAACAUCCACAAAAUUUUCCAGAUUUAUUGCAUGACUCAAUUAAUUAUUAAAAAUCAUAAAGUACUGCCAUGCAAGCAUUUAAAUUACCAUAAAUUCAUUUAUACACCAAAUAAUAUGUAACAAUAUUUUCUCAGUGAGUAAACACACAUGCAGAGCCAGCAAAACAAGUUUCACAUUUUUCUGAGCCAUAUUCCAUUUACUAUGCAUUUUCCAAGUUUAACAAAAUCAUGGAUAAAAUAUAUUCACACAGAAAAGUUGCUCCAACAUGACAUGCAAUUACAUCCAACUGUAGAUCUGGAAAUAUAGAGCACACCAAAAUUUAUCUCAUUCAAUUUGGAGCUGUAGAACUCAAGAUAUAGAUUUUACAAACUUUAAAUCAAUUUCUGGAAAAUACUUUUUCAAGAAAACCGACGAAAAACGCUACGCUCACCCAGAUCUACACCCACCGGGGUACCCCUGCGACUGACAGUGGGUCCCCGACCCCACCAGUCAGCGAGACCGAGAGGGAGCUCACCUCCGACGAGCGGAUCUCGCCGGCGGUGAGGUCUCCGGCCACGGGGUGAGCACCAACGUGCUCCCCGCAGCGAGGCGCACCCAGCGGUACCCUUGGAUCGACCAGAGGACGGCCGGAACACCUCCGGCGAGCAUGCAUGGCGGCACGGCGGCGCUGCUCGCCAUGGCCAGGCUGCUCCGGCGCGGUAGAGCGUGCGCAAACGCCUCUCCGAGCUUCCUCACCUUCCUACCGACCUAGCGCAACAGAGAACGAGCGAAAAGACGCAGGGAAACGCUAGAUCCACCGCGGCGGAGUACUCCGGCGAGCUCGGGGUAACUCCGGCGAGCGAUUCACGGCGCUCGACGGACUCUCACCUCGGUAGAACGUUCGCACGAGCUUACCCUAGCGACGGCGAGUGCCCUGGUGCCCUCGGCGUCGAGCUUGAGGCUCUGGUGUGGCCGGCGACGAGCGGCGGAGCUCUCUCCGACAAUGGCGUGCGGAGGAGCGGCUGCUGCGGCGCGGUUCGAGCGGAGGAGGAAGGAGAAGGAGGGCGCGGGGGGGACAGAACGGGCGAGUGGUCUGGGAGCCAGCGCCGGCGUCCCGACCAGGGGGGUUGGAGGUCGGCCGCGACGCGUCCAACGCCGGCGUACGGCCGCCACGUGGCCGGCGCCGGGUGGAACAAGGCGGGCGCCGCGCGCGCGGGAGAGUGGGGAGGGGGAGCAGGCCGCGCUGCCCAGCUGGGCCAGAAGGGAGGCGGGUCGGCCCAGCAGCGCCUGCCCCCUUUCCUUUUUUUUUGAAAUUUCUUUUCUCCAAAUUCUUUCUAAAUUCAUUUGGACCAAUUUAAAAUCAUUUUCACCUCUUGCUCCCAAAAGCAAAGUUGUUCCAAAACAAAAACUCUACCACUUUGUUUUAACAAGCAAGACCAAAUUCCAAACAGAAUUUGAAUUACAAGUUAAAACUCAGUUCUAGGUUUUAAUUAAAUUCUUUUUGGAUAUUUUUGUAUAAAUUCCAUUUCUCAAAUUCCAUAGCUCCAAAAAUUGCACAAAAAUAUUCUAAAUGCUUCUCACACAUAAAUCAACCUAAUUUGAAUUUUUCACAAUUUUAGGAGCAAGUAUCAUAUUUUUAACAUAUUUAAAACACAUGAAAUGAAGCACAUAAAAUCAUAAUUUGACAAGAGUGUCAUGCUCAUGAUGCUUAUGCUUGAUGGAAUGCUUAUGCAGGGCUUUGGUGAGACUAAGUGCAUGCUUAACACCUAGGGUGUUACAGCAACAAUUGGGAUGAAUCCAAUCUCUUCCCAACAGCAAGUUAUAAGCACCUUUUCCACUGAUUACAAAGAAAGUUGUCGGCAAGGUCUUGCUACCGAUAGUCAAUUCAACACAGAUGGCUCCCUUAACCGGAGACACAUUCCCUUCAAAGUCUUUUAGCAUCAUAUCGGUCUUGGUCAAAUCCUGAUCUCCCUUUCCAAGCUUCCGAUACACUGCAUAUGGCAUGAUAUUGAUAGCAGCCCCACCAUCAAUUAAAAUCUUGGUCAUCGACUGACCAUCCACUCUUCCUUUGACAAACAGUGCCUUAAGAUGUUGCCUCUCAUCAUCGGCAGGCUUUUGGAAGAUGGCUGUCAUCGGAUCCAGAGCCAACUGAGCUAUUUGGUCGGAAAACUCCAACUCAUCAUCACUGGACGGUGCAAGGAAUUCCAUCGGCAACAUAAAUACCAUGUGUCGGUGUUUUCCCCAUGGGGGGUCACACCAAUGAGUAAACUUAUAUGCGUGCUCCCAUUCCUAGAUGGUGAUGCAAGAAGACACAAAGAUUUAUCCUGGUUCGGGCAAGAGAAGGCCCUACGUCCAGCGGGGGAGGGAAGUUUUUAUUAUCUUGCACCUAAGUGCUUGUACAGGGGCGAAUACAAGUGUGUAUUAACCGGGAGUAUGGACACUUCUCUACGUGUGUGCGUUGUGAUGCCUGAUGUUUGUCUAUUCCCAGGUCUCCCCUUUUAUAUCUCCAAGGAGAGACCUAUGGUACAUGUAUAGGUGUCAGAGUAGGGGUCGAUAGAGGCAUGGCGCGCUGAACUACUCGAGGCCUCCGUACCGGCAUGGUAUCGAGCCGUCCUGUCUUAGUAGCUUGAUGAUGAUUACGCGUGCCCCCGUAUCCUGCUCUGCGCGCCGUCUCGGGCAGGUUCACCGGUCGCACGCCUGUACGGUAUAGCGGCAGAUCUGGCGGAGCAGCUACGGUGUUGUCAGUCGACGCCCAACUCUUCCCCAGGAAGGAAUCAUGUCUGGUCGAGGGUCAGACGCCGUGCAGUGCCUUGUUGUCCAAAGCGUUGACCUUGGGUGUCUCGAGGGGGUCCCGAGUAGACGCUCCAUCCCAGCUUCCCGCGCCCUGAGACGCUCUGGGUCAUCUGGUGGGGAAGGCUGCAGAAAGAAUGACGGGAUGGGUGCCUGUUCCCUAUCACGCUUCCUGUGACCAGCGUGUUAGGUGGGAAAGUGACAGGCACAUUAAAUGCCCUGGUUCUCGUGCGCGCGUCAGGCGGCGGACGGUGUCCUUGCGCCCGACGCCUCCGAUUCGCUCAAGCCUAUUUCCGUAUUCGACAGUAGUUAGCGCUCGACCCCUGAGUGGUUCGCUCGACGUCUUUUCCGUCUUCGAGGCUGCGGCCGUCGAUGACCGCAUGGCUUAUUAGAACGUCAAGUUGAGGGCCUCGAUCUGUGCGCAGGUAAUCUCGUUAUGUGCAUCAGUUCAGGUACCCCUUACUGAUACCCUCGACAGUAGCCCCCGAGUCUCUAUUCGAGCGCUGGCGCUCGAGUGGAGGCUUUAUUUUGCGGUCGAAUUUCCGUGGGGACGCGCGAGCGACCCCGCGGGGGUAGCCCCCGAGCCCUUGGAGGAGUUUUUGACUCCUUCGAGGGUUAUAUUGCCUAACUCUCAAAAACGCUAUCGACACCGGUGGUGGAAGGUCCUGAUUGGCUUGUUUUGUGCGGGGGCUUCGACGUACUCUCGAUAGAGCGAGCGUCUUCCACCCCAAACUGAGUUCCUAGCAGGUAGUCCAAGCGAGAACCUGUGCCCCUUUCGAGGGCGUCAGCUGUAGCCCGGAGGCGUUCUCAUAAAGCAGGGUCGACGUGGUCGGGGAUACUGGUUUCAUUCGAUAGAGUCCAGCGGCUCAAUGCCUCCCGUCGGGGGGACUCCUCUCGACUGUCUUGACCCUACCUUGGACAUCCCCAGCAAGUCUUCGAGGCGGGCCUCGAUCUUCGACCACUCGCUGGGGAUCCCUGACUCUGGUGCUCGAGAUCGGCUGUCGAACCCUUUCGGUGGGCCAGCCUACGACCUCUCGAGGCUUUCACGGGUACACUCCUUGGCUUACAAGGGAAGGAAAAGACCGUGGGCGGUUCGCCUUCUUGGCCGUUGGGCGCGCCUUUUUAGGUGGGAGACGUUACGGCACUGCGUUGGCGUGGGAUACGGAGCGCUCCACCUGAGAGGAGGGAAAGGACCGUUAGACGGCGCAUUUAUGGUGGGGAGUUACCUCAUUUAUCAGAUCUGCCCGUUGGUGGACAGCUACCUAUAAAUGUGCCCUGGCGUCACCGCUGUUCUCCCUUCUGCCUCCCGUCUUCAUUCUCGCCUUAGCCCUCUCGUUGCCUUAGUUCUCUUGCCAUCUCAUGCGCCCGUGCCCCCCUCGAGCAGUAGUGAAUCCGCCAUCCUUCCAGCUAAGAUGCCUAUGAGACUUGUUGCCACAGACGACUGGCGCCCGUCGUCGAUGACGGAGCGUCGGUUGCUAGAGCUUGAGAGGGAGGGACUCCUACGCCACCGCACCUCACUGUCAUCGCCGGAGUGGAUCGCGCCGCCAGCGGACCACUGGGAGCCCAGGCCGCCCAAGGGCUAUGUGGUUUCGUUCGCCAAGUUCCACCGCCACGGACUGGGCGCUCCCCCGAGGCGCUUCAUGCGGGCGCUCUGCCACCACUACGGGGUGGAGCUCCAGCACUUCUCCACAAACGCCAUCACUGUCGCAGCGGUCUUCGCCACGGUGUGUGAGGGCUAUUUGGGGAUGAGGCCCCACUGGGAGCUAUGGCUCCACCUCUAUAGGGGCGAGCUCUUCAAUGCCCCCACUGGGACCACCGGCGUGAGGAAACCCGUUCGGGCGGGUUGCCUCAACGUCGUGCUGAAGACAGGGAAGACGGAGAUGCCGCGCGAGUACAUCCCGGUGGGAUUGUCGACCAACCACGCCGGCUAGGAUUCCCAGUGGUUUUACUUGAGAACGAAGACGAUCUCCUACCCGCCUACACCGGGCGUCUGAUCACGGAGCGUCCGGAGAAUUGGAUGUACGGCGUCGUCCAAGUUCAUCAAUAUCGGCUUGACCCCCUCCUCGACGUCAUGAAGAAGCUGCGCUCGGAAGGCUUGACUGCCGCUCUCGUCCUCUCGACCGUCCAUCAUCGGAGAGUUCUCCCAUCGAUGUCUCGACCGCUGAGGAUGGACGAGAUGGCCCCCGGCGCCUCAUCUCGGGACCUCGAGGCAUGCCGGAUGUCAAGCGAGGCUCCGGCGAACGACGAAGUCGCGGCCCGAGUCACGGCCGCCAUUGCUGGUGACUUUAAGCCAGAGCAUGUUAACGGCUUCCCCAUGAGGCCUGAUGCGGGCUCGAUUGAUCUGGUAUGUUCUCUUCUCGUGUACAGCUUUGAUUCAGGAUUCCUUUCUACCCCCUUUUCUAAGUCUGCCUUUGUUCUGGCAGGGGCGGAUUGAUGUCCGGUCCUCGAGGCCUCCAGUAAAGGAGGACGAGGUUGAUCAUGACGCGCGGCGCCGGUCCACCGAGAAGCAAAAGUCCGCCAAGGAUUCUGCAAAGAAAGGAGAGAAAAGGAAGAACCUCGACCGCCAAGCAUUAGAUGCACAUCGAGCUAAAUCCAGGCAGAGGGGGGAGCCUGAGGAAGAAUCCCCCAGCGACGAUGAUGGUGGAGACGGUGAUGAGGACAGCGACGACUCCGAGGAGAUGGCAUCUCACCUCGACCGGAUCCUCGAGGGUCCGCCCCGAGGCGAUGUCGAUGCCCCACGGAUGGAAACGACAAAGGAGGGACCAGGCGGAUCUUACCGCCCUCGUGCCGACACCCCCCUGUGCCCGCGACUGGUCAGGUCGCCCCGCGCCCUCCCCCUGCGCCCAAGUUGGGUAGCCAUGCUAGGCCCCAGGCGACGGGGCCACUGACUCGCGGUUGUGCCGUGGCCUCCGAAAAAGGAGAGACUGGCCGCAGGAGCGCCAGUCCUGGUGCCCGCCAAGCAGAAGUUGUUGGGCCAAGGCCUGCGCCUGUCCUCGAGGGGCCUGGGACCUUGACGUGGGGUGGCUCGAGGCCCACCGGUCGGGGCACCGGCAGGUGAGCUGUUCUCCCCGUGGGGUAAGCUCUUCGAUGCUUUGAUUUUAAUUCUCCUGAUUCUUCGCGUUUUCUCGUGUAAUGGUCUUCUUUAUGUCCGUCCCUCUCUUCUCAGGUUGAAGCGGACGCUCAAGCAAGCCCAGCCUUCGAUGGCGAAGAGGCUCAAGGUGGGAGCAGCCUCCAAGGAGCCAGGUCUGUAGCUUAUUCAUGGGACUUGUGUUGUUCUUACGCUGGUCGUCAUAGUGACUAGCCUUUGUUUUUUGUUUCACAGGCUCCUCCGACCCUCAGCUGCCGACCGGCAUCGAGAGCGCCCCGCCUCAUCCCCCGGCGGGUGAUCCCGUCCCGUCGUCGCUGAAACAGGCCGAGAUGCCCCAGACCCAAGGGCAAGUGGGAGGCCCCCGAGCCUCCCCGAUCGGGGGUCGAGGGGGAUCCCAUUACCAUCAGUGAUGGGUCCGGUGGCGACGAGAUGUCGAGGGGUGCCCGUCCUAUGGACGAGGAGGCCUCGACUUCUCUUGUCGUGGGACGGACGCCUUGGCCUGCCAGGCUUCGCUCCCUCGAAGAGAAGAGGAAGAAGGAGGAGCAGGAGGAGCAAGAGGCAAGGCCUCAACUGCAAGAGCAGGAGACGCAACGGCAGCUGCAGGAGCAGUGCCGCCAACAAGAGUCGCAGGGGCUCGAGGAGCAGCAGCAGCAGCAACAGGGGGACCAAGAAGAAGGACCGCUCGAGCCCCUACCUCAAAGUCCGCCCCAACCAGUACCACCGGCGCCGCAAGGGCCCGGAGAGCAGGAAGAGGAUUUGCCGGUUUUCGGCCCUCCAACUCCAGCGUGGCUCCUUCCAGGGGCGCCCGCCGCGAUCCUAGCAGAAUCGGGGCGGGCGGACGGUGUGGUGGCGCUUGCCUGCAUGAUGCGCACCCCUGUCGACCCCGAGUCCGAGAUCAGGGGGACGAUCUACGGCAUGGACGGAAUCGCCCCAGGGUUCCUCCGGGAGCGUCGGGCGUGGGAGGACCGUAUUCCCCCUGAGGAGGACGAGAUCGGGACGUCGGGGAGUAAAGACGGCACCUAGAAGACGGUGGACGACGACGGGCGGUUCCCAUGCCUUGUCAACUUGUUCUUGCGCCAUGAGGGCUCCCUCAAGACCGUCGAGAACCUUAUCCGCAGCGUCAAGGCGCGGGCUGACCGGGAGAUGGAGAACUGGUGCCCCGAUCGGAUUCGUAUCCGGGCUUCCAUCGAUCCGUCCGAGCCCAACAUCUUCCUCGACGAUCGGAAGGAGGCCGAGAAGUGGGAACACAUCAAGGAGCUCCGCCUUUGGAUGAAGCACGUGGUGGGGCUCCUGUCGGACAUCAUCAAGAACGGGCUCGGGCCGGCUUACUUUGUAAGUGUUUGACGAUCUUUAAUCCUCAUGGAGCCUUUUGGUUUUGUAUCCUAACUGUUCGACCACCGGCUCGUAGGAUAUGAAAGAGACCUCCCGUAUCAAAUCGAGCUUCAUUCAUGCCACGAGUGGUGGCUGGGAGCAGCUCCCCCUCCUUAAGGACCAGCUCCUCGAGUCGCAAGAGAAACUCCUUAAGGCUUAUAAAGAUCUCAUAGCGCUCGAGGAGGAGAAGAAGGUGAGGGAGGCCGCCCUGGUCGAGGCUCGAGAGGCCUCAAAGAAGGUUGAGGAAGAGGCCGUGCUGCUGAGGGAGCGGGCUCUGACAGUCGAGGAGGCUGCGUCCAAAGCCCGGGAGGAGGCCCUGUCCUACAAGAACGUCAUUGCAGACAUGGACAAGGAGAAGGGCCUUCUCAAGACCGACCUGGACUGCCUCCGAGACUCCUUUCAAAGGAUGAAGGUGGAGCACGUGAACGGCGAGAUCGCUAGGAGCACCGCGGAGGAAGCCAAGAAGAAGGCCCUCGAAGACCUCGAGGCGGAGCGAGCUCGAUCCUGCAGGCUCUCUGACGACGUCGAACGUCUAAAGGGAGAACUGUUGGAGAAGAGUAGGGCCAUUGCUCAGGCUGGCAAGGCGAUCGAGGAUCUCUGCGUUGCGAACACUGAGCUGGCACGCUCCAACAAAGAGAUUGAGAGGGCCAACACCAGAUUAGUCGGCGAGAACAUGGCCUUGGAGGAGAGUGUCCGCGGUACGUUUCUAUUGCCGGAUUUCCUUUUCGAGGUGUGCUUGGUUUUUCUAAAGUUUUUUGCGUUGGCAUCUACAGGGCUUAAGGACAAACUCUUGGCCGCCCAAGUCGAGGCCCGCAAUGCUAAGGCCCAGCUCGAGGUGGAGGUUGCUUUGAACCGUCGAGUACGGACGGCGAUAAGCGAUCUCUCGACCUCUUGGGAGAUCGAGCCCAUGGAUGAGUCGAAGGAGGACGCUCGAGGCGAUGCACUAGUCGACCAGCUGUGCUACUUAGGCGUGAUGCUGAGAGAUCGGGUGCGGGAUGCCCUCCACAUCGGGGUGAAGCGGGCAAUGGCGGUUGUCUGAUCAGGCUUCACCUACGACAUGGAGGUGGUGUCCCACGGCUUCGUCACCGACAUCUCCAAGACCGACGCGGAGAACGAAGAGAGGCUCCACGCCUUGAUCAAUGACGCGGAGGUUCCUGGAGAGAGGCUGGCCAAGCUAUUUGAGCCUGAGGUGCUUCCCCCUGAGACUAGCUCGGGCGCAGGCGAAGGUGGUGAGGAUCGUGCUAUGGACUAAGGCCUGCGAGCCUGCUCAGGGUGCCUGGGGCCCCUUGUAUAGUACUUUGUUAGUCCUGUUUUCAAGUGAUACAGUGUCUUUAAGUGGUUGUUAUAUGUUUGUCUAUCUUUUCUCUCAAGGCUUCUUUUUAUUCCUUUUUGCACCCAUGUUUGUUUUUUCUCACUUGGUCUUUUGUUCAAGGCGGUCUCGAUUGCCUCAAGGGUGAGAAGGCGAGUAGAGUUUCCAUAGCCCGGGGGUGUAGGAGUUCUCAGGCUCGUCGUUUCUCGGCCCUUAAAGGGCUCGAGGUACCUUUACUACUCAACCGUGUGAGAUUACCGAUAGGAAUGAAAGGAUUACUAGAUUUUUUUUUACAUUUGGGGGGGUCGCCCCCUUGCUAGCCCCCGAGGGAGUGUUGACUAUGAUGGGUCGUAGUCGGUACUCCCUUCUAUCGUUGAGACUUGUGGAAAAGUAAAUUGCUCGAGGGAAAGACUUCAUUUAUUCGUACAUUCAUUUAGAAGGCCUUAGUACAAAGCGUACGUAGGAACUUAAAGCUUUGAAAUUCUAGGGGUAGAAUCGACGUACCUGUUUGAUGUUCCAUGCGUUGGUGAAGAUUGCCCCCUUUUCGUCCGCGAGCUUGUAUGUCCCUGGCUUCAAGACAUCGGCCACCACGUAUGGGCCCUCCCAUGGUGGGGUCAGCUUGUGGCGUCCUUGGUUGCUUUGUAGCCGUCGUAGAACGAGGUCUCCCACGUUCAAGUCCCCCCUGCGCACAUGCUUGUCGAGGUAGCGUCGAAGCUUCUACUGGUAUCUAGCAGAGUUGAUGAGGGCCACGUCUCAAGCUUCUUCGAGUUGGUCGACCGCGUUUUCUUGAUAUUCUUUAUUUGAUUGUUCGUUGUACGCUUUGAGUCGAGGGGAUCCAUACUCGAUGUUGACGGUCCUUAAGUAUGAAAUUUAAUUAUCAAAUAAACAAAGAAAAGGAUCCAAAUGAAAUCAACAUCUAGCCUUAGGGUUUUAUCUGACAUAAUUCCACGAGUUUUGGUGUUUGUCUAUUUCUGCAGGGGGUUGUCACAAAAUACGGAAGAAAGGCCCACACGUCGGGAUUACAUAGAGAUAUUAACGUGCCGCGCAAUUAUCUUAUAUCUAGAAGACUCCAGAAGCCACGGGAAGGAAGCGGCGGCCGAGAGGGGCCAGAGGCAGGGUGCCCGCCUUGUUUCCCUGGGCGCCCGCCCUCUGUUGGAGUCCAAACAGGACUCUGUUUCUCGGGAGAUCUCCACCUACCUAAUCACGUUCAACCUCGCGGAUUAUGCUCCACCGACCUAAAUGAUCAAGAAUAACCGUUCAAUCAAUGUCGGUUUGAUCCGAUGGCCCAGGUUCACUUGAGGGGACUAUAUAACCAGACCCCCUAGCCCCUGGAGGAGGCACCCCUUGAUCAUUAUUCAUUAUUCAUAGACAGAGCAAAAGCUAGGGUUUAGAGAUGAGAGCACUCCUCUCUUCUCUAAACUAGAGUAGAUCUAGAUAGUAGCAAGAUGGAGAGCGAAGGAGAAUCAAGCUCUAAUCAAGCUUGCUCAUUGGAUGACUCUAGUAAUCUACUUCUAAUUCAUUAUGCAAUUACUAAUCAUGUAUGUUCUGGUUCACAACUCUUUUGAGUAUUCUAAUCUAUAGGACGCUAUAGGUGAGAGUUGUAGUAUAGGUGUAAGCGUGGUGCUUAGACCUAGAUUACUUGUGGAUAUCCCCUGUCUAGCUGGAUCGUGUGGUAGGCCGCGUAGGUGACAGUUACGUUGGUCCUCUGUAGUCCACCUCUCGUUAGCAGGACGGGUAGGGUUUAUCGGCCUAAGGAUAAGCAUCCUUUGUGGUGUACUCUUAUCACGUGGUUCGUCCCAGAUAUAGACAUACCCCUUUGAAGUAGAGAAACCAUAGUUAUUCUCUCUAUUCUGCUACCAUUGCCCAUAUACUAGAAUUGCUCUAUUCUCUAUUCCCAUAUUAUCACUCACUGUUAUCUUACCUUUAAUAUUGUUCUUAUUCGAUUCUACCAUCUUUUCUAUUUACACUUAUCUAUUUAUCUUGGUUAAGUUUGAGCAUAGAUCAGUUCUCCCGUUUCCCUGUGGAUAUGAUAAAACCUUUAACCGGGUAAAAGCUUCAACGGUAUCCGUGCGCUUGCGGAUUAUCUGUGUGCGUAUAAAUACCAUAGUACACUCUAGUGCCAUGCUGGGGAUGACAGCCUAGUAUUCAAGUGGUGUUAGCAAGUGUCAACAAGCAUUUUUGACACCGUUGCCGGGGAAACGGUUGCUGAGUUGACUACGAACUAGCUUAAUCAUUUUCUAAAAUAAAUAAAAUAAAAAAAAUAUUUUCCUUUUAUCCUUUGCCUCAUCUCUGCUAAUCUUUCUUCUUAUCUAAUCCUUGAUCUCUGGUCUAUCAUGAAUUCAAACAUGUCUAUCUAUGAAUUUCAUAGACCUACGGGCACACAUCUCGAACCACUAAAAUCUUUAAAGCCUAUCAUAGCAUCUAGUUUUGAGAUAGACCCCGAAUACAUAAGAAUUUAUUCAAAAACAACCUUUCUCAGGAGAAGGGGAGGAAAACCCAUACACACACCUAAGAGAGUUUUAUCGAGUCUGUGACCUCCUUCGCAUAGAAGGAAUGUCCGAUGAGACCCUUAAAUGGAAGCUCUUUCUGUUCUCUUUAACGGGAAAAGCUAGACAUUGGUACAAACUCAAAAAAGGGAGUGUUCAUGUAGAUUGGAAGGAGUUAAAUAAUAGUUUUCUUUCUAAAUAUUUUCCAAUAUCCAAAGUGGCGGAACUUCGGUGUGAGAUUAUUUCUUUUAGACAACUGGAAGAAGAAUCUCUUAGGAAAUCAUGGGACCGCUUUAUUAACCUUACUCUCACUGGCCCAAAGCUUUCUAUUCCAGAAGAGGUUCUUCUAAUUCACUUUUUUGAGGGCCUUAGUGGGGAAAAUAAGCAAACCUUGAAUACAGCCUCUAGAGGAUCCUUCUAUCACCUACCUGCUAGUGAAGCUUGGAAUUUGAUUGAUUUAUUAAGUGGAAAGUCUCCUAGCUUUUAUAUCCCCGAGAAAGAGACAGAACCAGUUUCUAGACAAGAAGAAGAAGUUUCGAUAGCCAGAUCACAACCACUUCAAUUCCAAACUUUAGCUAUCGAUCCUAAACCAUCAAUACACCAAAAUUCUCCAAGGGAGGAAGGAAUUCCGACCUUAAAUCUUUCAGAUGCUGACGGUUUAGACUUCUGGUUCCAUAAGAGACCUUCAAACAGGGAUAAUUCAAAUCCUCGCAAUAAUGGUUCUCUUAGAGAAUGUCCUGGUUUCUGUUAUGAAGAAGUCGAGGAUGACACAUCAAGUAAAGGAGAGCUAAGCCAUAUUAAAAAUUCUAACACCUCCCCUUUCCUGAUCACAAGUUCCAAAUGGCUAGAAUGUGUAGAAUGGAUGGAUAAGGAAGAAGCCUUAAUGGAUUAUGACUUUGGUUCAAUUUCAAAUGGUGAGUUCUUGACUCCCUUUGAAGAUGGGAUUCAUCCAACUAUAGAAGAGGACAUAAGUGAGACCAAUCCAAGAGGAACUCGAAACAUUCAGAUUGGAGACGAAGAUAACAUUAAUGAGCAUGGAAUUUAUUUCAUAGACACUUUGUUUACUCCAUGCUCAUAUGCAACAUCUUCCCAAUCUAUUGGUCCCUCCAACAUCACCACAUUUGAGAUCUCCAACCCCCUCUUUCUUUCUAUUUAUAAAAACUUUAAAAGGGCGGUUGUCGAUGCAUAUGUCUAUAAUAAAUAUUGCAAAUCUCAUUGAGUUGAUCUUGAUUUAGGUCAGCGUUGGAAGGGAAACCACUUCGCCGACAUAAAUUGAUGGUUUCCCAAGGACAAGCUUGGGGUCCUAAAAUAAGCACUGAUCAGAUCGUAACAUGAGUUUUUAAUUAUUUGCAACAUUACCUUGUGUAUUGAGCAUAUAAGGAUAAUUGUAAAAAUAUUCCUUCGGGUAUUCUUGUCACUAACCUCUACAGGAUUGGAGCAAGAAGAUCGGAUGAAUGACAAGCACAAGGUAUGUCCAACCAAUCAUCAUACAACAUUGAAUUAAAUUCAUCCAAACUUGAAUUCUGCAAAAUUCAAGCUUGGGGGAGUACUUUCCAUAAAAACAUCCUUUGCCAUGUUGCUAUGUUGGUUGUCCCCACCUUUAAGACAUGCUCAAUUUGUUAAAUACUAAUCACACUACUUCAUCUCCACUUGAGUAGAUCUCUAUAAAUGUUGUCAUGUUACCUUUGUCUAUUUACUAGUAAGUGUUAGUUUGGAAGUACUGCACAUACUUCUAUUGGCUUUUAAAUUAAGCAUGGUACUUAGGUUAAACAGCCUUCCUUAAUCUGAUUAGACAUGGAGUCUAGUUCGGUUAUUGAACUAAAAACUGCUUGUGUAGACAUUUGGUAUAUUUUUGUCGGACUAACCCCUGCAGAAAAACUUUCAAUAUCGAUUUGGGAAGUCUUGAGAUAAACUCACAUCAGAGACGAAGAGAGUGACACAUGAAGUUUAACAAUUUGCACAGGAAGGACAUAGCUCAUUCAUCAUAGAGAGAUGAUCCAUGGAGGGUGCCACAAACACGAUGCACAACCGCUAAGAAAGGAAAGCUUCCACAAGGUGAUACUGUACCAUCACUCUUCAAGCAAGGUAACAUCUUAAGGUACUUGACUAUCACUUUUAUAAGCUUCUCCUUGGUUCUGGCGUUCAUAUAAAUAAAAGAGACAAACAUGUAUGAUUUACAACUCUAGAUUAACCAACCCAACUGAUUCAACAUGUUUAGUCCUUUAAUCCUUGUUCUUAGUACUACCUCCAUGAUCCCACAAUCCUAAUCAUAUGAGCUAAAAUGUUACACAUUCAAUCAUUGAGAGAUAUAAAGAAAAAGACAUAUACAUAGAUAGAUUAUCUUUCCAUAAGGUUGAGCGAUCUGAUCUGACAAAUGUUAUAAGUGGUACACUCAUGAACUUUUCAUCCAUCAACUUUGUCUUGCUCACUAUGCUUAGGGUUAGAGAAGAACAAAUACACUUUAGUUUCUGUUGGUGUUUUCCACCAACAGGACCCAUGCACUUGAUCUCUGCCUUGUCUCUAUGAGCAGGUAGACUUCGAGCAAAACACGGAGGAGUUUUAUAACUCUCAGACUCUACCAAGUGAAGGACCUGGAUCUACGAGCACAAACACAUUGAGCAGGAUACUGCCAACGCCGCACUUCGAACUGCUGGGCAAACGAAGAGGUGCAGACGUCAAGGUCCGCACCUGAAUCAAAUGACGCACCUAAAGAAUGAACACGGUGAGAAGUCUUGUUAAGAAGACUUAAAACAUUGAACCCUCGCCGAAAGGUAAGAUCGGUAGUUAUCCAUAUUUAUCCUUUCUGCAUUCCCUUUUCCCUUUAAUUAUUUACUUUCCUUAAAUAGAUUAUUAGUUAAAUCAUGCUAUCUUGAAAAGAAAAUAAAAGUGUUAAAAAAUACUAAGCCCCAUGUGAGUAUACGAGUGGCAUAAAACCCAUAAGUACCUUCACUGUGGUGGCAUAAAAAUAAAAUAAAUAUUUAUUUUUUUCUUUAUAAAAUAAAAAUAUAAAAACGGGGAGUAAUAUUUAUUGAGGAAGCUCAACAUGAUGAAGGCUAGAUAUUUAUGCUAACACUUAAUUAGUUCCACAAGCGUUGUUGUCUAUUUGAGCUCCACAGAAUUUAAGAAUCAAGAAGACUAGCAGACGGAGGACAUUCUAAUCGCUGUCAGAAUGCUGCUGACUUUCAAAUACACCUCUGCCACCUGCUCUACAUCAAGAGAAAUUACGUCAAAAUUCAGCUUGGGGGAGAGCACUCCCAUUUAUCUCGCUAAGUAUUUCUACCUAUCUUUAUACUUAUAUUAUGUUAGAAUAUUAAAAUACAUAAACUUUGAAAAACCAAAUAAAGAUUUUGUGCUUAUAUAUAUAUCUUUUGCUUAGUGUGUUAAAUAAAUAAAUAAAGUGGCUAUGCUAAUCUGAAUCUUAAUAAUAAAACUCUAGCAUGGAUAUGAUGAAUAGUUGCUCUGCCUAAUUUGCAAAUUUGAAGUUCUCUCUCAAGUUUAGACAUAACUGUUAUAAUUUAAAGCUUGCUCUAGAUCUAAACUUGUGGGAUGAAAACUUGAUCUGAAAUCUAAGUUGUUAACGGAUAUGAUAUGGGAAGGUUGAGCUACUGUUUAUCUGUUCCUAGAGAUGCUAGAAUUCUGGAGAAUUUUAUCUUUCAAAAAUCUUUAAAAUAUUGCAUGAUGAGUUCCUGUAUGAAGAGAGUUUAAAUUCCUACCACAGCCAUAUAUACAUGCUUGCUAGACUUUGAGCCACACAUUUAUUAUUUACUGCUUAUGAGCAUUGAGUGUGGUCAAGCUGUGUAGACCCUUAGGAGCUUGUCAUGUGGUUAAAUCAAGAUUCACUUGCACGUUCACUCAUAUAUGCUACUUCUACUCUGGAAGUACCAUCCACAUAUAUCCAUCCAUGUCCAUCUCCAGAACCACCCUAAAAUAUUCUACUCCUAAUCCGGGAGAGAAUAACCAAAAAUAUUUCUGUUUUCCCUUGUGAAAUAAAUGCUCAAGUUAUCUUGCUACUACCACUUGCUAUAUUAUCUCAAUAGAUGAGUGCUCUGAAAAAAAAGAAAAGAGAAGAAAAGAAAAAAAAUAAUAAAUAAACGAGGGAAUAAAAAGGGGCAAGUGCCCGGAACCUCGAAAGAAAGAAAAAGUGAGACGAGAGGUAAAAAUGGACAAGUAUCCGACAGUAGAAUUAGGGGUACAAGAUACCCACCUGAGAGGAAAGAAAAAGAAGAGCAUCUCAUUCUCCUCAUAAAGUUUCAAAAAGCAAGGAAGGUAUGUAUCUCCUCAAAAGAGCAAAAGUAGAAUUAGACUUUCACCAUUGUUAUCACCAUCAUCACCAUACACCAUUCAUUCGCCACACAUGCACAUCUUGAUUUUGCUUAUUGAUUUGUUUCUUUGGAUCCAUGGUUUGACUAUACAAUAAAUGUCUUGUAAGUAUGUAUACUUUAUCUCCCACCUAUGAGCUCUAGAUAUUAAAGCCUUAUUAGAGUAGGAUGAGAGAGAAGGCAAUGUCACUAUGCCUUAUACCACAAAUACCACAUAUCUUGAGAGAAGGCAUAUACCAUCACUGCCUUGGUAAGGAUCCAGAAAUACCACAAAAGAGAGAAUUGAGAGAGUCAUACAAGGAAUCUCUGAGUUUUAUUUGAAAAUCUGCAAAAACUCCACAGCUAUAGCUAAUCAAGAAUAAGAGACAUGGCACUUGGCUAGACUGUUCUAUCUUUUAACUACUCAAGACAGAAGUGACGGUUACAAGUCCCAUGGUGAAAGGUAAAGUAAGUAAGUUUUAGUUCUUGACAGUUUACUCUAAUUUAGAGAUGAGAUCUUAUUUAAAAGCAUGUGUACCGUCAAAUUUUUAAGAUAUUGCAACAACUUCUGAUCCACUGCUGAGUCUAUCCUUGCUCAGGGACGAGCAAGAGGUAAGCUUGGGGGUGUUUGUUGACGGUCCUUAAGUAUCAAAUUUAAUUAUCAAAUAAACAAAGAAAAGGAUCCAAAUGAAAUCAACAUCUAGACUUAGGGUUUUAUCUGACAGAAUUCCACGAGUUUUGGUGUUUGUCUAUUUCUGCAGGGGGUUAUCAGGAAAUACGGAAGAAAGUCCCACACGUCGGGAUUACAUAGAGAUAUUAACGUGCCGCGCAAUUGUCUUACAUCUAGAAGACUCCAGAAGCCAUGGGAAG
rnacentral:lncRNA from 1 species